rnacentral:lncRNA from 1 species
ACAGGAGGAGGUGCAUGAUUACGUCUUUGCCUUCCCAUGAUCAUCUGAGGUACCUGAAACAUAACCCAAAACUGUAAGCCCAAAUCUUAGUGAGUUCCCCCAAAAUACCAACACAACACGAAACUAGAAUAAUAACAAUAAACAACAUGCAUACAGAGCCUUCAGUUUGACUGGAAUGCCCCACCGGCCUGCAGUCUACCUGUUACGCUCACAGAAGCUACAACAUGACUGGAACACCACAACGGGCCUUCAGCCUAUCUGGAACAUUCUCCGGGCCUUCGGCCUGACUGGUACGCCCUAGGUUUGUUGGCCUUCAACACAAAGCAUGACCGCCUCAACCCAGCCACACAUACACCGUGUCGAGACACACACACACACACACAUAUAUAUAUAUAUAUAUAUAUAUAUGUGUGUGUGUGUGUGUGUAUGUGUGUGUGUGUGUAUAUAUAUAUAUAUAUAUAUNUACAAUUAAUUAGCCAAUAACUACCAGACAGAUCUUAUAGAUCACUAAGCAUAGCAUCAUCCUAUCUACUGGGAUAUAGAUCACUACAAUACUCAAUCAUAUGGUAAUUAGGAUAACAAUCCAAAGGGCUGACCUUGGUGCCUUCGACCUAUAAGUAUAGUGAGGAAAACUCACCUCACACUGCUGAAUCACACUAAAAGUCUUCGGUUGAUAUCUCACAAAAAUCCUCACACUAUCAUAACAAAAUAAUCAUCCAAUAAUAAUUGGAUUAAAACCAAGGCUAAUAGUCCAUCAUUAGGGUAAAAGGCCACUUUGCCCUUUCCUUAGUUGAGGGUAAGACCCAAGCCUAAAUCUUGAUCCAAAAGGCCCAAAAAUAAACAAUCACUUAAGGCCCAUAAUCAGCCCAAUUUCCAAAUUGGGCCUAAACUCCUACUUGGGCCUUACCCUAAGGUCCAUCUCUUCACUUAGCCCAAAACACCAAUACUCAAAUGGUCCAAAAAGGGCCCAAGCAUCUAAGCCCAAAGAGGUGACCUAAACUUAAAGCCCAGACUCCUAAACCCAAUAGAUUGAGUAUGCGGGGCGUACGCAGUUGUACGCUCAACGUACUUCGCCUGGACCCAUAAACGCGUCGUUGACCACCUACGCCCUGGUACGCCCAGUGUACGUGGUGGCCAUGCAAAACUCCAAAUAAGAGCUUAUUUCAUUCAGUCCAAACGUCCAAUAACCAUAUCCAAGUCCAAAAAGGUGCUCUUAACCACAAAGUUUCCAGCUUUAUGGUUAUACAUGCAUCAUUAACACCCAAAACCAACUUCCUAGUUGGUCUUAACUACUAAGGACCUCUAUACUUUUCAUGCAAGCACUAAAUGAGUCAAGAAGGAAUUUUAAUGACUUAACACAACUCAAAUCUUCUAAAAAUGGUAGCGCCGUUGGUCUUAGAGUCGCAUUUACUUAUUAAGUCCAAGAAAAGGGACAAAACUUAUAUACUCCAUAUGGCUAGAUCUCUAAGAAAUACACAUAAAUUUUAAGACUUUAUACAUUAUGGAGCUUCCCAAAGAGAUGAAGAUAUCAGAUCUACAAGCUUAAAUCCCACACCAAAUUUUCUCAAAUAAUCCUUUCUUCUUUCUUCAACACUAAGAACACACAGACACACUGAAGCUCAUCACACACAACGGCUAGGGCUUCCAAGAUCGACUCAAAGAGCGUGGAGGCUAAAAGGGUGAGGGAAAUGAGGUUAUAAGGGGGAUUAUAUAUGCCUCAACCCUAAAAAUUAGGGUUUUCAAUGUCUGAUGAGUACGCCCCGCUUACAUAGACGUACGCCCUGUGUACUAGGGUGUGCCCUAGUAUGCUAAGCCUACACACGUACGCAUGACAUACUCCCACUCCUUCCAAAUUACGAUCUGCCAUUAGGGUUUCUCGGGGCCACUUCCUUCCAUUACAAGGACCAAAAUGACAUAAAUUAAAACCAUAAAGAUGAAUUGGAAAGUACCUGAAUACCGGGGUGUUACACACAUACACAUACACACACACACACACACACACACUCUCUCUCUCCCUCUCUCCUCGUAAAUUCUUGUGAAAUAGAUGGUGUUUAUCUUCCUGAAAAUUGAUUGAACAUUGUUUCUUGUUGUGAAAAAUCCAUAUAUGUGAAAAUCGAGUAUGUGAAAGUUGGAAUUGUGCUAAUUAUCUUCCUGAAAAUUAAUUUCAGUGAAACUGAAUUUGUUAUUUAUCAAUUUUAUGUUAAGUUCGAUUCCAUAAAAUAUUGUGUUACCGCUAAGGAUCCGGUUUGAGAGGCGUACCUACAGGUACAUCAUAUUAUAAUAUUUUAAUUUUUAUAGUUUAUAAUGAAGCAACUUGUUAAGUGUGUCAAACCCAACAAAUAAAGGGAUACAAAAUGACUCCAAAACACUGUUACUUUGCACUAAAAAUGUAAUACACGAUAAGUAGGGUCGAUCCACAGAAACACGGGACAAAUGCUUAUACCUUUUUGCGCAAGGUACAAUAUGAUCACAAAAGAGGGGGAUUUAAAUGCAAUGAUUCAAAUAAGAGCUAAUUUAAUGAGUAAGCAAUUGAUUAAGUGAAAUAAGUUCAAGAUUUGUAAGUACUCCAACUCUAUGCAAGACAAAUUAGCAAUGUGAUUCCAUGGAUGACAAGAUAUUUAUUUAAUUUUAUCUAAGUUGGUACUUGAAAGUGUUAACAAGCUCUAACACUUCCCAUUCACCAUAAUAAUUAACCAAAACAAGCUCUUUGAUUAAUCCUAACCUUACUAACCUAAUCUAAACAAGCUCUUAGAAUUAGAUUGAAAGGUUGCUUUAAACUUUAUGUGAAUGUUCCCAACAACACUCAAUACUCCUCACAAGCUCGGGAGUGUAAAAGUGUGUGAAAAGAUUUACACGAAAUUCAUUCAAUAGAAAUCAAAUUAGUGCUUGUUACCUAGUCUAAUUUACAAAACAAUUACGGAUUUUUCAAUUAGAUAAAUUGAAUGAUCUAACCCUAAUUCAAAUGGUCAAUAAGAAUCACAAUUAGAAUCAAACAUUCGAUUGAGACAAAAUCAAAUUCACUAGAUAGAAAAUUGAAAGCAAACAUCAAGCCAUAUGAUUGAAAUCACAACUAAGAAGUCAAGACAUGAAGUUGGAGAAACUAGGGUUCUAGCUAAUCAGGGCUAGAACAAGAUCACAAAUCUAGAAAAUGAAAUUAAAGUUCUUACAAAAUGAAAGCAAAUGUUCCCAAGUGUUAAUCAACUUCAAAAUCCUCAAGAAAAUCGAUUUCUCUGCUCUAAAAGUCGACCCCCCUCCCCUUAAAAAAAUCGGUUCCUCCCUUUAAGAAUGGUGAAAAACUGCUUUAAAACCCACAUUUACAUUACACGACCCACGUAAAUUAACACUGUCAUUUACACGGCUCGCGUAAACGCAAAAAUAUACUGCGCAGAAAUCUACGUUUACACGACCCGCGCAAACGCAAGGCUUGCAUUUAUACGGCCGUGUAAAUCUCUGUAAAGCCAAAAUCUUCAUUUAUGUGAUAUCUUGCUCCUCGGUGCUCCGCAAGUCCCGAAAUUUUGUCCGCAACUAUUAUUUACCUCCUCCAACAAGAUCCUACCUCCAAAAGUCCCUGAAAUAUCACAAAAGUAUGUGAAUGAAAUUACCUCAUGAAAAAUCCCGAAAAACAUGCAAAAUGCAUGAAUUUAAGCCUAUAUGCAAUGUACUUUUAUGAAAUAAAGCUACAAAAUGGGUACAUGAAAUGCACCUAACACAACUAUAUGGAAAUAUAUAUAUUUUUUUUUAUAAAUUAUCAUGUUGAUAAAUAGGUUCAUAAAGAAGUAAUUCGAUGGAAACACAAAUCCUUUCCUGACUAUGAAGAUCUUUGCAUUGUUUUUGGAAAAGACCGAGCUCAAGGAAAUAGAGUUAGAGAUUUCAUUGAGAUGUAAAAAGAUGUGAACUUAGAAGAAGAAAUGCAAGAGUCAGAUGAUGAUUUCAUUGAAUAUAAAGAAAUUAGCCAUAGUACAACUAUGAAAAAUGAGAAAACUUCACCAAGUGUUCGUUUCUAAUAAGAUGAAACGUCAUACCAAUGAUGUGUUCCAUAAUGCAGUUGGUUUGGUUACCGAAAGUCUUAAAGAAAUAUCAAAGGACUUGAGUCAAGGUAUUAAAUUUUACAUGAAGAUCAACGAACUGAGUGAGAAGAUCCCUCCGGAGAUUUUGAAUAUGAAUUCAUUAAGUCAAGGUGAGAAGUUCAAACCUUUGACCAAGAUAAUAAAUGAUCCUAGAAACAUACAAAACUUUUGGCAAAUUGAAGAAGGCAAUAGAAAGGUCUGAGUCAAAUACAUUUUGGAAUGGUAGUAUUAUUAAUUAGGAUGUUUAUUAGAAUGUUAAUUCAUAUUUUGGAUUUUUUAAGUUCUUUUGGGAUGUUUCCUAGGAUGUUGCUUAGUAUUUUAGAUUUGUAAGUUUUUGGUAUCUUAGAUAGGGAUGUAUCGAAAAAUUGUUAUGCUUUUUGGGAACGUUAUUAGAAUGCGAAGUGGAAUGACUUUAAGUUAUAAUGCUUACUAACAUAAUUUUCGUAAUAUGUUGACAUGAAUGCUCAAUCAAUAAAUUAAAAUUUUACUAUUUUAAUAAUUUAUAUAAUAUAUGUUUACGUGUAACUUAGAAAACAAAGUAAAAUAAAGCAAAACAGACAAAAAGAUAAUUUUGUCAUUUUACAUGAAUUCCAAUUCCGUUUCCUACGAACCAAACAGAAUCUGAAAUUAAUUCCAAUUUCAUUUCCUGCCAACCAAACAACACAUGGAAUUGGAUUCAAAUUCAUGAAAAAUUCCUUUCCAACUCCAAUUCAAAUUCCUUUAGCAACAUUUUGGGAACCAAACAACACCUAAGAUGUUAAAGAAAAUCCCAGCUAGGGUACUGUAACAUCCCAAAAAUUAUAAGGUAAAAAAUUUAUUUUUAGUUCAACCAUAAACACCAUUUAAUAAUUUCAAUCAUUUAAAGGUACAUCAGACUAAAAUAUUUAUCAUAGUACAAUUCCCAAAAUCAUAGAGUGUGGAAACAUAGGUGGAUACGUUGUGAUCAAGCCAGACCAUUCCCUCACGAACCGAGAUUACCUCAAAAACAUUUCAAACAAAUACCGUAAGCACGAAGCUUAGUGAGUUCCCCAACAUACCACAUACCAUAUAUAUCUACUAUCUCAAGGUUGUGUCGGGUCUAUUUCACCCCUGAGUCCAUUUCAACUCAUGUGUCGGCCCAAGGCGGUACCGGGUCUAUUUCACCCUCGAUCCUAUUUCAUCCCCAAGUCUAUCUCAACUCAUAUGUCGGCACUAGGCUAUAGUGGGUCUAUUUCACCCCACAUACAUAUAGCAAAUAGACAUAUAGACAUACAUACAUACAUACAUACAUACAUACAUACAUACAUACAUACAUACAUACAUACAUACAUACAUACAUACACACACAUACAUACAUACAUACAUACAUACAUACAUACAUACAUACAUACAUACAUACAUACAUACAUACAUACAUACAUACAACAAGAGUCACAAAAGACUACAAACGCAUACAAUCCUAAUGCCCUACGGUAUAGUGAGCAAACUCACAUCAGUCCACUGACAAUCCAACAGAUGAUCAAGCUACUAGACCUAAGAAUCCCCAUGCUAACCAAUCAAAAAUAAUCAUGAUUAAUAAUCAAGUCAUAACCAUAAUCGAGACUGAAUUCACUAAUCCCGACUUCUAGGGUAAAAGACUAUUUUUACCCUUCCCUUCAACUGGCCCAAAGACCAAGGCCUAAACUCAAUAGCACUAAAAGCCCAAUAACCUGCCCAAAUACAAAAGACACCUAAAGGCCAAUAUAGACUCAAUUCCAUAAAGGCCCAACUAAAAGCCCAAAAUGUAAACUAUCCAUCCUCACGUUGUGACCAGUCCUUGGUCACGUCGUGAGAUCCUGUUCGAUCCAAUCCAACUCAUCCCGACUCAGCUUAGUCAAUUCAUACAUGAAAAGUCACCGGAGCUAACCUCACGUCAUGAGAAUCCUCCUCCCAUGUCAUGAGAUGCAAGAAGCUAACCAGAAAUGGGGUCAUUCAAUCCUCACAUCAUGAGACCCCAAGUCCAAGUCGUGAGAACAGUCUGAAGCCAAAAGUCCAACUUUUAAGUCCUUAAUUUGUUAAGCCUUGUACCCAAAUUUCCAGAGGGUCUUAUAACUCCAUUAUGUACUGGAAAGUCGAUGCUUUUGGGACAUAUAUUUCCAAUACACGUCUAAAUCUCAUUUGGGUCAAAAGUUAAAGAAACGACAUCUAACUUUCAUGCAAGGUUCCAGAACUCAACCAUUCACUAGAUCUGAACUCUAUAUCACUCUUAAGAUCCUAAUAACACAUAAAGUUGCCAACUUUAUGCUUUCUAUUCAUCAAACUUACACAACCAAGAAGAAAAGUGGCAAAAAACUUAGAUCUAUCUUCAUUAAACAAUAAAGGAUGAAUCUUUGAUACUCAUAAUGGUUCAGAAACAAUGUAAGAUGAUGAAGAUGAAGAUUCCUUGCAAGCCUCAACACAAGAUCACCUUCUUCUUCUUUUCUCCUUCUUCCAAGCCAAUAAAAGCUCCAAAAUGAACAAAGAUCAAGCAAGGAUGAAGACUAGGGUUUUUCUAAGGUGCAAGAGGAUUUGGGGCUGAUAAGAAACCCUAAAAUGAGUUUAGAGAUGCUUAAAUAUGAAGGAAACCGUAAAAUGAUCGUGGGCUUGGACUGCAUCAGCUUUCACGUCGUGAGCCUCUAUGUCUCACGUCGUGAUACUAGACCCGAACAAAGGUUUUCAUUUAGCCUAUUGUCACAUCGUGAGGCUCCUUUCGUAACGCCCUGUGUAGAAUCAUUUCCUAAUGCGGGGCGGUGACCCGAAGAUCGGUUAUGAUCAAGCUUGGGGUCUUUGAGGGAAUGAGAUUCAGACCCAUUUGGGUGUAGGUGAUGUAAGUUGGAUGAUUUGGGAGUUCAUUUUGUGUUUUGGAGCCAAGGGGUUUUUCAAUAAAGUGUCAGUUCGGGCUUUUAUGAAAAUUGGAUUUUUGUUAGGGAAGUUUUAAGGAAAGUAUGAGUUGAUUGAAGUGUAGAGCUUCUUGUUACCUCAUCGUGGAUAUAUGGAUCGUCAGAAACGAACUUAUAACAAAGAAAAUUAUGGCCUUCGGAAGAUUGUAGGGUUCAAGGCUAAGGUCAGUAUGCAGGGUGUACAUUAGUGUACGUUGGGUGUACUAAGCAGUUGGAUCAUGACACUUAAGGGAAAUAUGCUAAGUGUAGUGGGAGUACGCCGGGCGUACUCCAGAUUCAUGCAAACCCUAAAUGAGGAUCUUCGACCCUAUAUAAGCUCAUUAUCUCUUCACCAAACCCUAAUACCUUCAUCCUCCAUCACUUUUUAACCCUAGAUUCGAACCCCAAGUGCAUUUUGGUGAUUUUGAGCUUGGAAGUGUUUUGUGAGUGUUUUGUGAAGAAGAAGAAGAGAAUCACUUGGAGGAGUGGCUUGAGCUUAUAGAUAUAGUAGUAUCUUCCCAUUUGCAAGCUCUCUAAGGUAAAAAGCUUAUACCUUGAUGUUCAUUUUGUUUGGAUCUGCUUUGUGGUGUUUCUUUGAUAUUAUUGAGUCCCUUGAAGUAAAGGUGAGCUUUUGAUCUACUCCAGUAGUAGUGGAUGUUAGAUCUAAGCUCCAAUAAGGUCUCUUGUUCAUAAAAAUGGAAACUUUAUGGGAGUUGUUGGUCCAUGCAAGUAUUAAGACCCUUAUUAAGUUCCUUUCUAAGUGUUGAGUCCUAAUUAAGGCAUGUAUAUGAGUAAAGUUGGCAACUUUAUUGGUUAAGACCUUGUCUAGGGGCCAGAUCUAUGUUUUGGACAUCUUGGAUUAACCCAUUAAGAGCUAAAUGUGGGUUUUGGACUUCGACGAGUACAUUGGGCGUACGAGGAGGUACAGCCAGCGUAAUGUUGGGGGUACACAUCAGACGUUUGUACUUUGUGUAUCAUCGUCGUGCACGUAGGGCGUAUGUCUCGAGUACGUAGGGCGUACUCCCUAGUUCAGCAAAAAAUUGGGCCUUUUGAGUUUGGCCCUUGUUGGGGCAUUGGGCUUUUGUUUUUGGGCCAUGGUUAGGUUGAGGAAUUUCUUGGUAAUGGUCCCAUGAGAGUUUUAGGCCCAAUUUGGAAGUUGGGCCAUAUUCAGCUUGGGUUGCCAUCUUGGGGCUUCGGUGUUUUUGGGUUGGACCUUGUUUUUGGGCCAAAUGAGAAAUGGAUAAUUUGGGUUUCGGUUGAUUAUUGAUUGAGUUUUGUAUUUAUUGUUUGUUGACGCGAACUCAUCCGGUUCUGCGACCUGAGCAUCCAUUAUUUAUCAGCGGAUUGAGAUGAGUUUCCUCACUGUGUUUAGUGGGUUGAAGGGACCAAUUCCAGACCAUGGCUUAUAUGUUAGGAUGCUAGAAUUUUGCGCGACUCUUGCAUGUGUUAUGGUAUGCUUACCGGGCAUGACCCGAUGCCAGGUGGGGCCUAAUGAGUAUAUUGUAUGCUAGUUAUUUGUAUGUGUUUUUUGCUUACUGUGCAAGACUCGAUGUUGGGUGGGGCUUGAUAACUGUAUGAUAUGCUAUUGUCUUCGUGAAUAUCACAUGUGUUUGUAUGGUUAUAUGUUUAUAUGCUUAGAUGUGUAUCGGGCGAGGGCUGAUGACUGACAGAUCUGUAUACCGAGCGGGGUGCGAUGUCGGGCGGGGCUCGAAGAAGGGUGGGGGCCUAGUAUGUGGUUAUUAGUUAUAGUAUGUGGUAUUUUGUGGAACUCACUAAGCUUCGUGCUUACGACUUUAUGGUUAUGAUUUCAGGAACCAUCGGUUUAAAAGGGAAGGGCCUGACUUGAUCGCAACACAUCCACCCAUGUUUUCGCAUUAUGUUUUUUUGGAUUGUACUCUGAUAACCAUUUUCUUAUAAAAUUACCUUUGAAUAAUUGGCUAGGAAGAUAUUGAAUGUUGAAUUAAGGAUAAUUAAUGUUUUGAUUGAAUUAAAAAUGAAAUUUUUACCUCAUAAUUUUGGGUUGUUACAAGUUGGUAUCAGAGCCUUGGUUUGAGGAAUUUGGGCACACUCUUGGGUGUGACUGAACUCUAACUGAGGAAUUGUUAAUUUUUUAUAAAAAGAAAAUGAGUUCUAAAAAGAUUUUUCUAAAAGAGAAGAAAUUUCUUAAAGGAUUUUUGUAAAGACACAGGGAGUGUGGUGCAUGCAAUCGGCCGAGCUCAAGUAAGUGAUUCCCAGAAUACCCAUACAUGUUUUUUAUGAUGAUAUGUUAUGAGAAUUGCAUGCUAGGAUGAGGCUAGGGAUACUUUCAGGAAUUGGAUGAUAGAUCGGCCUUAUAUGUGAUGCCUUGUGGCCUAGGAACCAUUGGAUUCUAUGCUAUAUUAGGAAUAUGUAUUGGUAUCAAUAAUUGCUAAGUGUAUGCUUUAAAAAUUGUAUGCGGUUAGGAUCAUAUAGCCCUAGAAUGAUUGAUUUGGCCUUAUUUUCUGUUCCUCGUUUGGUUGUGGUCCUGGGGUAGAGUCUUUUAUUCGACAGUCUAUUUGAUCAUGUAUUGUGUAUAAUUUGCAUGCAUAAGGUAAUCGGUAGUGAGAAUGGAAGUUCCUAGCAUGAGUUGUAGUAUGUGAGUUUGAAUGUUCUUGUUCAUCCAAUGGAUUAGAGUGCUACUACAAGAAUAUUGAUUGCUUUGUGGAAAUCUUAAGUGAUGUGAGUUAAUUAUUAAGUGAAUAUGUUAAGUCACAUGUGACAAAGGUUGAAUAAUCUCAGAGUGAUGGAUUUGAACCUAUUGUGCGAUUCUCGUUUGUGUCUAACCAUUAUUGGGAUGCGUCUUUUACUUGAAGGAUUAUCUAAGCUUUGUUGCAUGUGAUUGUAUUCAUGAGGUAGUUAACUGACAUUAUGGGGAGUUCUACAGCAGUUGAUGGCAGGGAGAGGUCAAGAACAUAGGAAAGCCUAGGAAGUGCUUCAAUAGGUUUAGUUGUGCUAUUUAGCGAUCUUUUAGAGUAUCUGUUAAGGUGCAAAGUCAUGCUUGGAUGUAAUGUUUUAGGCUUUCCUCUUUGUAUGUGUAAAUGGGUUGAGUCUUUCCUAUAAAUAGGAAGUGAGUGACUCCCAUUAAGUAAGGAAUCAUUUGGAGUGUUAGACUAGAGAGAGAAUUUGUAUACAAGACCCAUUUAUAUAAUCUUUCUAGAUCUAAUAAGAGCUUACAAAGAUUUAUUUACUCCAUGUGUUCUUGAUUUUACAUGAUGAUUCACUAGAUCUUUCAUAUUCCGCACAUGCCAUCAUAAUCACCACAACAACAAUUGGUAUCAGAGCGGGUGUUCUUGAUUUUCAUCAAGAAUUGAUCCUUGAUGGCUAUUUUGAUUUGGUGAUUCUUAUUGUUCAUUGAUCUUCGUGUUUAGAGAGUGUUUUUGUGUUCUAGAAGUCGAAUUUUUCUUUGAUUUGAUCCAUAAUUCGACUUUCUCUCUCUAGAAUACUUGUUUGUAUCACUUUAUCUCUCUAGAAAACCCAUUCAAAAUCACUUUCUCUCNUCAUAUUCACUUUCUCUCUCUAGAGAUCUCCUUGAUUUACACUUUCUCUCUCUAGAAAACUCAAGUUCAUAACAUUUGAUUCAAAAUAAAAGAAGCAAUUAUGGAGCAAUGGUUGGUUCGGAAUGAAAGUUUUCUAUACGUAUACACUUCUUUUGAAUGCAUUCUUUAUCGAAUGACUGUUGGAUUGCAAAGUGAAGAUGCACUUAUGUCAAAUGGAGAAAGGGAUGGAAAGGGAGAUUUCAUUGGUUAUCCAAUUUAUCAAAACAAAGAUUUGUUUGAUCGAUUGAUUACAACAUAUCAAGAAAGACGAAGAAAUAAGAGGAAUGGUGAAGUCAUAAAAGGAAUUCUUCUUGCUAAUUGUAAACCGGGAAGAAAUAGACUUGAAUAUUAUGCAAAUUGUCGUGAAGCUCAAGAACAUGUUCUUGAUGAUGUUCAUCGUGUUCAUGAUGUUCAAGGAAAAGAAGUUCAAAACAAUGGAGUUCAAUGUGAUGUUCUUGAUGUUCAAGAAAAAGGAGUUCAAGUUGAUUCUCAUGAUGAAAAAGUUUUUUGCUCAAUUGGAGUUCAAACCGAUGAUAUUUUGUGUUAUUGUGAUUCGUUUGAAGGAAUGAUUCCUUAUCGGAAGCCGGUGAUCCAAGAAAAUCACAAGUAUCAAACUCCAAAAGAUUUGAUUCAAACUCAAAAUGUUCAUGUUGUUGAAAGUGGGUUUGUUCAUGAAGUCAAGUCUUCAAGAUGCAAAAAGAUGAGAAAGAAAAAGAAGAAGAAGAUGAAUCGGAAGAACAAGCGGGUUUACUCACAAAAAUCGUCAUAUGUUGUGAAGCCAAAAUCCGUGAAGCAAAUUUGGGUUCCAAAGCAACAAUAUCCAAAGGUUGCAUUGAAUUUGAAGUUAAAACCCAAAAGUGUUGGUGGUUCUUUUGAAGAUGUUCUUGGAUCGUUGAAGAACAUGAAGAACACGAAGAACGAGUUGUACAUCUCGCAUGGUGGGUGGUCCAAUGUUCGAUUUGGAGAUUUUCUCAUUCCGACAAAAGAACCAAGAUCUUCCAAAUUUGAUUCGUUCGUUGAAAACGGAACUCGAUUCGUCAAAAAGGUAUCUCAAAUUCUCAAAUGGAUUCCAAAACGUCCAUGAUUUCGAUUCGUAUUUUGCGUUUUUCAUUUUUGAUCGGUUUGCCUCAUUGGAUCUAAACUGUUUCAACCCCAUUCUUGAUCCAAUUAUUUUUUUUUAUCAAAACCAAAAUCAUAUUCUCAUGUUUCUUUUGCAUUUCGAAAUCAAAAUUUGUUUUGUUUUGGUUCGAAACACUUACUAUUCUGCUCAUAGAUCCAAAUAUUAAGCCCACAUUAAAAUCUCGAUUACUGUUCAUGUUAAUUUCUCUUAGCCCAAUCCAACAAUCUAAUAAUUUUUGAUGUUCAUUACUAAUCUUGAGCCCAAAUCUUGAUAUUUCAAUUUAUCAAUCCAUUGAGCCCAACUUGAUAUCAGUUCAUUGAUCAUUAUCUUGGUAUCGUUAUCUCAUAUUCUCGGAUUUCCGACUUUGAUUCAACAAAGUCAAAAUUGAUAAAAUCGGAAUUUGAUUUGCGUUGAGUUGGAAUCAACGUUUACUUGCUAGUUCGUUGAGUUAGUUGAAGACGAAAGCAAUCUUGGAACUGAAAUCUGUUUCGAUCGUAUUGGCGGUUCAAUUAUCUAUGUCGACGAUUGAAGCAUUGAGAUCGAGGGUCGAGAAAUUGAAGUGGGACUGUGAAUUGAUAUUGAAAUUAAAGCGUUAACGUCGAUGGUCACCUUUAAUUUUGAUGGAGUAAGAAAUCGAUGUUGGUUAACAGAUGGGUUGAUAACAAAUAGAGGAAAUAAUUUGAUUGUUGAUUUUGAUAGUUGUAGGAGUUGAAUGCUAAAUUCAUUUGGUAUCGACAGUGAAACGUUAAUGUCGACUACUUUGGGUUGAAAUCGAUUGAAUUUGGUGUGCUUUACUGAUUCGUAAUCGAUGGAAUUUUGGGGUCAAUUUAUUGAAAAUUUUCGAAGCCUUAGUUCACUGUAAGUUGUUUGCAGAUUGUCGACUGGGAAAUCGAUGUUUGCAAAAGAAUGAAAUUUUGAUUUUGGGUUGAUUGGUGAUGUAUGAAGGGUUCCUGUAUGGACGAUGGUUUGGAGUCGAUCAAUCAAAGCCUUGGUUAUAUGAUCGAUUGGUUGGAGUUGGAUGUGAUAAUGAUUCGAAGGGUUGUGAUGUUAAGAACGAAUGAAUUAUUUGAGUACUUGAACAAAAAGCGAAUACCUGUGAUUUGGAAUAGUUGGAUUUUGAACAAAGGGUUCAUAUAUGAUCAAAUUUUGAUUUGUGAUUUCGAAUGUUUGAUGUCGGAUCAGAGUUAGUUUCUUGAAGCCGGAAUGAAUUUGGAAUCCGUCAACAUUCAACUGAAGUGUUUUGAUAGAUCUAAUAGUUUGAAGGAUUAGAUGAGAAAGUUCAAUUUUUUAUGGAUCGAAGAUUUGUUUGGAUUUGGUGAUGAUAUACAAAGGGUUCCAGUGUGUUUGAUCGAUUUGGGUUGAUAGAUUCGAAGGGUGUGUUGAUUUUAGAUUCGAAGGGUUAAGAAUUGAUUUGGGAAGAGAAGACCUGUAAAACGAGAUCUGUGAUUUUGUAUUUGGGGAAAAAACGAAGCCUUGGUUAUUUAAUCUUGAGGUUAAGAAACGAAGGGUAUAUGGCUGAAUCUACGAAGGGUCGGUGAUUGAACAAACGAAGGAUGGUUACUGUUCAUAGACAGGUCUUCGUAUGCUUCGUACUUCGUGAAUUGGAGUCUUCGAAAGAAUAGAGCAAAUGAUAAAGUUUCGAAAACAGCCCCUGAACCUUCGAUUUGUUGACACUUCAAAAAUUAACACAAGUUUCGAAUGAUUGACACUUUUCACCCAAAUUCGAAAUUUUUUGGAAGCUUAGAAUUUUGUGGAAUCUUCGUAUGAAUUGUGAACAAAGAGCAGAAUUUCGAAGAUGGUCCCUGAAACUUCGAAUUUUGUGCAGUUUUCAGCCAAAUUCGAAAAAGGACUAUAUUUUGAUGAAAAUUGAAGAAAGUGCAUUUCAGGCCCCUACAGUUUGUGCAAAUUGACGCUUUCUACCCAACUUUGGAAAAGGGGGAGAGUUUUUCAUAUUUGGCUGUUUUGGGCGCAACGGGUCCCUGCAAGUUUCAGAAAGUGACAAUUUCUACCCGAAUUUUGAAAAAUCUUGCAACUUUCACUCAAAAAGUCAAAAUUUUUCAUAAAUUGGAAAUUUUUGUGGCUUUUUCGUGAUUGUUUUUUCGUGCAAGAUUUUUGGUGAUUCAUUUUUGGUACACAUCAAGGGGGAGUAUUGUGAAGACUAUUCCUCGGGCGCUUCUCAUCCUUAGUGGGUUUUAUAAUCAUUUUUUGAUUAUAAAAAGGGGGAGAAUGAUGGGUAUUCGAAGCUUCUCGGGAUUGUCGUAUAUUCAUUUGCGGAUUUGAAGACCGGUGUUACUUCGAGGGGGAGUUUGGUCUUGAUCGCGCUAGCUCGUUGGAGAUUAAAGCCGGACAUCCAAUCCUAACUUUGAGGGGGAGAAUGUUAGGGUGCAAAGUCAUGCUUGGAUGUAAUGUUUUAGGCUUUCCUCUUUGUAUGUGUAAAUGGGUUGAGUCUUUCCUAUAAAUAGGAAGUGGGUGACUCCCAUUAAGUAAGGAAUCAUUUGGAGUGUUAGACUAGAGAGAGAAUUUUUAUACAAGACCCAUUUGUAUAAUCUUUCUAGAUCUAAUAAGAGCUUACAAAGAUUUAUUUACUCCAUGUGUUCUUGAUUUUACAUGAUGAUUCACUAGAUCUUUCAUAUUCCGCACAUGCCAUCAUAAUCACCACAACAACAAUAUCGGUUUGAGAAGAUGACUUAAAGGAAUUGGGAUGAUUCUCGAGGAAAGUUUGGAUAGGUGUGGAAGGUAGUAUUGGGCCCAUACUACUGAAAGCACAGGAUCCAUACUUGAAUAGGGGAGAGUCUUGGAUAAUCUAGGAAGCCUGUGGUAUGUGGAUUAUUGGGUAUGUUCUGAUUAUCGGUAUGAUUGUUUUGAGUCGCUAUGGCGAUGAGCACACUAGGAGGAGGUUCAGGUUUUGGUCCAAGGUCAGGUGCAGGUAACGAGUCGAUUGAUGAGCAGAUGCGGGGGUUCAUCUCGUCGAAUAUUACCUGUGGUAUUUUGGGAGCAUACUCAUGUGAUCUUUGGUACGGUCAAGGAGGGGAUUUUGGAUGAGUGUCUGGGCGCAUUUCGUACCGAGGUUAUGGCUAUUGUUGGAGCUCGAUCUCUUUCAUUCCGUAAGUUCCAUGCUUGUGGAGGUCCCAAGUUCUUUGGGGAGAAGGACCCCAUUGCCAGUAAGAGAUGGUUAGCAGAUAUGGAUAAUGCUUUCAAGACGAGUUUCUACCCCGAGGGUUCGAAGGUCAGAUUUACCUCCUGUCUUCUGAAAGACAGAGCCCGAGAUUGGUGGGAGGAGGUAGACUUCACUUUGGGAGGCGAAGCCCUAGAGACGAUGACUUAGGUUGAGUUGUGACCCUGUUUAGGGCCAAGUUUGCACCAUCUAUUGAGAAUUAACAGUUGGCGAGGGAGUAUCAGGACCUUCGCCAAACGACUGUGACUGUGGCAGAGAUCACUGCCAAGUUUCGGGAAUGGGCUUUGUUGGUUCCAUAGUAUGCAGAGGACCAUGAGAUGAAGAAGGUAAAGUAUCAUGUCAUGUUGAGGGAUGACAUCAGGGAGUUUGUGAGUCUGUCAGGGUGUGAGACCCUGAAUGCUAUGAUUGCUAGAGCUUGGGGGUGUGAGAUUGAUUUAGAGGACCUCAAGAAGAGGAAGCCAAAGUAGACUCAGAUUUUAGUGUACUAGGUGAGGAGGCCCAAGACUCAGGAUUCACGUUUGAUAGACCAUCAGGGUCGGGGCCGUUAUACCAAGUGUGGGAGGACCCACGAGGGAGGAUGUCGGGGGACACGCCGAGGAUGUUUCAGUUGUAGUUAGAUGAGUCAUUUUAGUAGGGCCUUUGAGGAUCCAACGGUUGUGAGGGUAGGACGGGAGCCCCAAUAGCAAAGAUCCGAGCAUUGCAGUGUCAGUCAGGGCAGGCCAGAGUAUUAGCAGAUGAUUUUGCGUGCAUGUUAUCUUUUGCUUUCUUCAUGCUUAUAAUCAACAUUUAUAUUGCUUUAGAAUCUUGUAUUGGUUUGGUAAGCAUUAUCUUUGGUUUAGUUCUCCAGUAUAGAUUGGGUUAUAUCAUCAAGAAUUGUUAUAUGCCAUUUUUCAUGCUGAGAUUCAUUAGUGGGUCGUAUCUUACUGAGCGAGUUUCAGCAGAUGCUUUUACAGGCAUGUUAUCUUUUGCUUUCUUCAUGCUAAUUAUCCGUAUUUAUAUUGCUUUGGAAUCUUGUAUUGGUUUAGGUAAGCAUUAUCUUUGGUUUAGUUCUCUGUUAUUGAUUGGGUUAUAUCAUCAAUAAUUGUUAUAUGCCAUUUUGCAUGCCAGGAGUCAUUAGUGGGUCGUAUUUUACUGAGUGGGUUUUGGUUUGUUCGGUUGUGGUUCCAGUUCUUUGAAGGGGUCACUUCAUGGGUAUCGUUAGAAGGUCUAUGGUCGGAUUAGCUGGUUGGUUUCCAUAAUGAAGUCAGAGUUCAUUCGUGUUAGCAUUGGUGGCGGUAGGAUCGACAGUCGUCCAUGGAAGGACCUUUGGGUUCAAUCGCUACCAUUGCUAGGGAAGGAAUGGAAGCAAGAAGAUGGUGGUGGUAGUCACAUGGGUCUUUUUGGUCACUGGAAGAGCCAGGGGAAUUUUAUAAUCGCAAGGUUGAAGAUGGUUUGAAUUCAGAGACGCUUCUGUGGAUGGGAAGUUAGAGUAAGGAUUCUCCAGUUCAGAGCAAGGGUUAUGGUCUUUGUCACCAACAUAAAGGACUUAAGAAUUUGGUAUUGUAUCAUAGGAAUCUAUUGGGGUUAUUGUGCUUGCUAAGAUUUCGGGGAGUAUUUAUCCGGAUUUCAAGAGUUGUGCGAUCAUCAGGAUUGGAUAGUAAGGAAUGCGAGUUCUUGGUAAGCUCAGGUCGUCAACGAUGCGAUUUAUAAGGAGGUAAGAUGCGUUGGGAAUCCAUCAAAUUUUGUGGGUUAGGAGAGCUUCGACGAAUCCAUGUGGAGGAGAACCAUUCAAAUUUUUGGAAGUUGAAUCAGGUGUGAAACUAGGGUGAGUUUCACAUCCCAGUCGGGAGGGAAGACAACUCAAGUGGGUGUCUGGAUUGUAGUUGUGUAGGUUGGGAGUUCAAGAAACUUCCAACAACUGUUUGGCGUCUUCUUUGUGAUGGAUAUCAGGCAUGUGGAUGGAUCCAGGUUGGGGGUUAUGUUAGAGCCUCGCUGCCUGUUCUUGUUUGAUAAAGGCUUUUGGGUUCGAAGCAUGCCCCAAAAACCUGAUUUGGGUACAAUCGGAUGCGGGUUCAACGCAGGAUGAUUGUGAUUGAUAUGGUAAAGGUGUGGUAAGACCAUAGAUGGUGAUCAAGGCGGGAUAGAUGUGUCAUAAGACUACGAGGUGGUCGUAGCGUUCACUGGGUUGACAGAUAGUAUGGAAGUGUUGUAAGUUUGCGAUGGGAUCGGAACAUUCACCAGAUCGAGGUAUACCAUCAUGUUAGAUUAGGUGUCUAAGCCCAUAACUAUAAUUGAUAUGUACUUGACCCGAGAGUAGCAUGGUUCAUUUGGGUUGCCUUCACCAGAACAAUCUGAUAGGAUGGAUAUUUGAGAAAGAGGUUAUUUAUGAUUUAUUAAUAUAUUACAAGUAUAAUAUAUUAAUUGUGAAAUCAUAUUAUUUAAUUAGUAUUGAUCAAGAAAUAAUUUGGAAUUAAUUUAGUGAUCAAAAGAGACUAAUUAAAUUAACGGGGACUGAUUAUGUAAAUCAGUGAUAUAUAUAUAUAUAUCACAAUAUAGAGCAGCCCUUUUGAGCCUUUCCCUUCUUUUUCUUUGAGCUUGGNUAUAUAUAUAUAUAUAUAGUGUUUAGGCUAUUGAUCCAUGUUGGGCUAAGUUUUAUGUAAGUAUCCACGAAGAGUUAGCCCACAUGGGAUAUGAAUCAUAACCUAAGUGUAUGGAUUAGGGUUUACCCAUGACUCUUGCAAGCCUACACUAUAUAUAUGUUAUCCCUUAGCCAAAAUUGUUGACCAUGAGCAUCACACUUGAGGUGUUAAGCUCUUGAGAGGCCAAGAACUAGAAACUACAUCAAGAGGUAUUCAUCUAACUUGAUUUUAUAUGGUAUAUCCUCUAUGGUAUGCUAAUUAGGAUGUAUGCUUUGGAAAUUUCAAAAUUGCAUGUAUAAUUAGAGAAAACAUAGAUCUAAAGCAUCUAGGGUUGCAUGUGCACCAUAUGAGUGUUAUAAUGCUUAAAACCCAGCAGUGGUAUCAGAGCCUAAGAUUUUUUUCUGUUAUAUUUGAUGUUUGGUUAUUUUUCGAAGCUGAAAAUUUGAUUUUCUGGCCUCUGACUGAUGGACUCGUCAAGUCCAAUGCCUGACUCGACGAGUUCACUCACUAAAAGGGCAACUCGACGAGUCCAGUUCAUGUACUCGUCGAGUAGAGGCUUCUGGUUGCAAAAUUUCAAGUUUUUGGCCAGAAUUAGAUUAGGAUCAUUACCACAAACUGUUUUAUAUCAUAAAAAUUUUAUUUUCUAAUUUGGUGAUGAUGAUCCUCAUCCAAUUAAAGGACAAUUGUCAAAUUUUAAGAUAAUAAGAUAAUUAUUUGUAUUAUUUGAUAUGAAUUGCCUUGCUAUGAGUUCGAUUAGAUCAAUAGUGAAAUUAUAUGAUAAUGUUGUAAGUUAAAAUUGAUCUAAGUUGUUCUCGAAGUGAGUUUUGUAACUUGUCCUCAAGUUAUAUGAAGAGUCUCAUUCAUGAACAUUAAAACUUAUGAAUUUUCAUAAGUUAUGGAAAUGAAAAGGUUUUCAAGAGUUACAAAACUUGCCCUCAAGUUUUGGUAUUUGAAAAGUCUCAAAUUAUGAAAACAUUAACUCUAGUAUUUGAAAGGUUUCAAAAGAUGCAACUCUUGGGUUCAUAACUGAAAAAUUAAUUAAAUAGUUUUAAUUUUGAAUUUUUAAUAACCUAGAUGCUUUGAAUAGUUCAAUUACACCUUAUGGAAUUUAUUAAAUUAAUUAAAGUGUUUAAUUAAAGGUGAAGAUUAAUAAAUCCAUAACAACAUGGUUUAAGUUUAAUUAAAUUAAGAGUAUAAUUUAUUAAAAUAUUAAACCUCCUAGUAUUUUAACUGUUUAAAAUACACCCUUAUACUAUAUAAAAUUAAAAGUUUAAUAUAUUAUAUAUGUAUAAGUAAAAGGUCAGUCUUACCGUUAGUAGGCCUCAUUCACGAAGCCGGUCUAUAAAGGGGGUAUAAGGUUACUGCCUAUAAAAUGGUGGUUUAAUGGGUGUCCACUCUCACCCACCGCUUCCUUGACUGGUGGAGGGUCGUUAGCCGAACGGGUAGGAUAGGACAUUAAUUAUCAUUAAAAGUAUAAUGAAAUACCAAGUAACUAAAUACUUUAUAAAUUCUCAAUCUUAGUUACUUAGCAAAAAUGUGAAUUUGAUGCAAACCCUUGAAAUUGCACAUUGCACCUUAUUAGUCGUUAGUGGAGCGUGUAUGGUUAACUGACACACUAAUAUGGGACUAAUGAAGGAUGAAAAUGAGUAGCUCGAUGUUAAUCAUGGAUCAAUGGAGCUUGUGUGGUUAACCGGCACACUGAUUAGGUGAUUUGUAACAUUAAGUGUACCAAGCUAAUUUGCAUGGUUAUUCACACCUUGUUUGUGAUCCUCGGCAUCCUAGUCACAAACUUGAAGGGCAUAAUCGAGAUUUAAACAUGUCAUUGAAAAUUUCAAUGAAUCUCAAAGAAUCUAGGAAUGUCAAUUCAUUUAAAACCUAAAAUUCAUAUUCGUUUUUCAUGGUGGAAAUUGGUAAAUCGUCAUUUACCUACCUUCAAAUAUUUUACAAUUGGAUUAUGGCAUCCGUCUUCCGAAUUGUAGAAUAUUGUGUUGGGUCCUAGCCUUAAUAUUUCAUUUUGGGUGUUAUAUUAAGGACUUAAAUCAACUAACUUGAAUUUCUCACAUGUAGAUGUCUAGUUCAGACAACUAUGAUCUUCCCGAAUCUUUUAGAAAAAGCUUUCCACAUAAAGAUGAUAUUCCUCAUUAUCAUACUUCACUUCCUCCACCUCCUCCAAUUAUUCUCCCUAACCCACAAGUUCAAAGAAUUGAAAAGUUCAAGGUCACUCAAGCCCUAUUGGCUAGCAAACACCAAGAUGGAAGGUCUGUGUGUGCACAUGUCUUGGAGAUGAAGUCACACAUUGACAGGCUGGGAAUGUUACGAGUCAUUGUGUCAAGGAAGUUGGCUGUUGACUUGGUUCUUCAAUCACUUCCUAAGUCAUAUGGCGAGUUCAUUAAAGAUACUAUAUGACAUACCACGACAUAUUCCUUAUCAAUCUUACCUAUUUUCUAAUUGCUGCUGAAUCAGCAAUGAUGUGACGCACUGGUAAUGCAAAUUUGAUUGGAAGAUCUACUUCCCAAACUUCCAUGGAUAUUGACAAUGGAAACAUUGGAAGUCCAGAAAAGAUUUCUCUUUCCAAGGGAAAGGGAAAGGCUAAGUCUGAGAUUGUACCGUGUACCAUUCCAAAAGAAUUUGUUUGCUUCUAUUGCCAAGAGAAGGGGCAUUGGUUGCGAAGCUGUCGUAUCUAUCUGAAGGACCACAAGAAUGGUAAAGUCAAAAAGUUUGACUCUGGUUCAGUUAAGUCCACUAUCUAACUCUAAUAAGUUCUUGUUUGUAGAUUCUUAAUACAUGAUGUGAUAAGAUUACAUUUUGAUGUUUUGUAGGAUCAAAGGAAGAUUAAAGGAAAAGAAUGUUGAGUCUGAUUGCGAAGAGAUGGAUUUCAAUCGCAUGAUGAUCGGAUUUUUGAGCUGAUGCUAGAAGUUAUGAUAAAUUUGCUUAGGAAUAUGUAGUAACAUAGUUUCCAUUUGUAAUUGAAUUAUAAGUACAGAUUUAUCCUCAUUUUGUAAAUAAAGAUAAAUUUUGAAUUUUAUCUUGUUUUAUAUUUCCUUGCAACGACAUUUGUGAAAAUUGGUGUUUAUACAUUAUUAGCAAUAUUGAAAAUGGAUUUGAUUCUUUCGUUUGUGGUAGUGUCAUAAUUUACCAAAUAAGGAAAAAAUUUCAUCACCCAAGUUUCAAUUGAAUAGAAACUUGGAAUCAUGCAACUUGUAUUGUAUGAUGGAUGAGAAUCUUCGUAUUUGGGAAAUUAAGACUAAUUCAUUGUUCACAUGUAUAUGUGAGUCAAGUGAAGGACUAGGGGAUCAGGUACACUUGGUUGUGCGUUGGGCAGGUCCACCACAAAGAACGAUAAGACUAUUCGUUAUGAUUUACUAAAAGUUUAGUAAAGAUGGUUAUACUUACAAGAUUAAGUGUAAUUCUGGAUCAUUGAAAAAGUUUCAAUGUGUAGCAGAUUGAAUAAGAAGAAUCAAAUCAGCAAAAAGAUAAAAGUUUCUCCAAUCUGAAAAGAAAGGAGAGUACUUGAAUAUCGCGUUUUAUGAUCAUCUUAGUGAUUAUGAAACCAUAUCACAAAUUGAUCCUCAAAGGACAUCUUAGUGCAUUUGUAUGGCUAAGAAGAGGAAUCAUGAAUUGUUAAAAUUAGGAGUGUUCAUUUGGAUGGAUCGGUUUAAUCCGAUCCGAUCAAGUGAAUCCAAAUUAAUUUCGGUUUUCAAAACGUAGAUCCAAAUAGUCCAAACUAAAUUCAAAUCUGAUCCGAUCCAACCAAAUUAUAAUCCAGUUGGAUCGGUUUUCUACAAUUCGGUUUUCAAGAAUCAAGACAUUUCAGCAAAUAUAUAACUUUAGUAUUAACUUACUCUAUAAUAUAAACUAAAAAAUAUUGUUUAAUUAGUUGUGAACUAAAACUUAUAAAUAACUAUCAAGAAAAAUAUAUUAUAGUUUACUACUUUAUAAACAAUUUUUUUUUCAUAAGAAGUACAUAUUAAAAUACUAUAAUAGAUAAAAAAAAAUUAAUAUAUUAAAAGAAUAAUUUAGUAAGUUUAUAAUUUAUUAAAGAUAUAUAUUAAAAAGAACAAAAUAAUAAAUUGUAAUUCGGUUGUUUUGGACUAUUCGAUUUUUACUUUACAAACCAAAACCAAUCCGAAAUCCAAAAUAAUAAUUCGGUUUUGUUAAAAACCAAUCCAAAAAUCCGAAUAUCCGAACCAAAUAGUCCGAUCCAAAUUGUCCAAUUGUAAAAUUCGGUUUUAUCAAAAUAGUGAACAGUCCUAGUUAAAAUGGUUAAAUCAAAAGGUGAAUCAUACUUCGUUACAAAAUCAAGUCUUAGAGUCAUACUCCAAGAUUGUGUCUUGAGUGACAUAUUCUUAAGAAAGGUUUGUAACACUUAUCAAAUGUAUAGUAAAAUGUUUUCUACUCUAGUACAUUUGAAAUUGGUAAGUUAUGAUGUUUUGGAUAAAACAAAGAUCAACUAAGAUCGAUUGUCAGAAGUGCUUAUCUUGAUAAGAAACCGCACUAACUCUUGAGUAUUUGAUUGGAAAUUAAUGUUUCUUUACAAAUAGAAUCUUAUAUAUCAAAAGGCCAGUGGGAGUCUUAAAUAUCUUGAAAAGUUUCAAGAACUAAUCAAGAGUAAACCCAUUGUUAAUCACUAGCGCAUGACUUAAGGUUUGUAACCUAUCGUGUUGACAUGUUUUUGUUUCUGUGCCCAUUCCAGUUAAGUUGAAUGCACAUGUGAGUUCUGUGAGUUCUCAAUUGUUUGCAAAACAACUUGGAAGCAAAGGUAGGCCCUUGAGUUGCCAGGUGGCAAGAAAUUAAGAUUAAACAACUUCAGUCCAUAUGAGUUUGGUUUUUGUCACUAAUCUUGUCUUGUGAUUAUGGUUAUGACAAAUUCACAUGGAUAGGAACACAUACACCAUAAAAUCUAAGUGUCAUAAGGUUCUCUCUGAUUCAUGAAAAUGGUUAUGAGGAAACACUUUCACUAAGUAGAUUUUAAGCAAAUAGCAUUUGUGAUAUUUGCAUUCUCAAAUUUGAUUAUGAUUACGACAUCCCUCUUCAUAGUUCGAAUUGUGAGAAAUGGAAAAUAGUUUGAACAUUCAGAACUUAUUGUUGUAAGUUCUAAAUAGUUUAGACACACAUAUGAGCUUUCUAAUAAGCGGUGUAUGAGCUUAGAUAAAGGCUUAUCAAAGCAUCUCAUGUCAGAAAUCUGAACUUUGGUAAGAAAGUCAAUAAGUAUUGAUUUCUAGAAGUCCAACUGAUUUCUGGAUACAUGUCAAAGCUAAUGGGAGCAUAAGUAUUAUGCUAGUAAGAUAAUAAUUAUUAUGCUAGUGGGAGCAUAAUUAUUAUGGUAAGUGUUGCGAGUUAGCAAUGUUAAUUUUUAAUUUUAGAAAACAAAGGUUUCAAUUCGCAAAGUUGCAGGGUUUGAAAAGUAUGUUUUGCUAUAAUUAAGGGAGAGGAACUUAUAAUUCAUUUCAAUUCCAAAAUUUUAGAUUGAUAUUUUAAUCACAUUUUGUUAAGGACAUAUAUGAAUGUUAUGUUGAAAAGAUUCGACAUAAGGAAAUUCUAUAUAUGGAAAUGUUAUAGCAAGAGACUGGUAAAGUAUCAGGUAUAUAUGUAAGAUAUUAUGAACCGUAUCCCAUAUGCUUUGGGUAUAGGAUCGAUUGCAUAUGAUAUAGUAUUUAUGUGUUAUGAAUUUUCCAAAUGCCUAGGGAAUUAAGAAGGAAAAAGGACCAGAACCGGAUAUGACUAAAGUUGCUAAACAAUUGCUAAGAACAAUCCAAGGUUCGCCAAAGAUUGGUUGCUUAUGGACAAUUGGAAGUAUAGUAACGGAUGGACCAUAUUGACAUGAUCUUGAAUAGAUAGGACUCUAUUAAGAAUGGUUAGUCAUAUGGAAAUUAUGGAAAAGUUUCCAUAAUGGGAGUUGGAUAUCAAGAAUCUAAGAGUAAGUUAGAAACUUUUAUGCUAGAAGGAUGUUUAAAGGAAUGUGCUUUGAAUAUGAGACUUUGUAUCUAUAGAAUUGUCUUGUAACAAUCUCCAAUGGAAAGUUUUGUAAUUGACAUAGUCUCUGUGUGUAACAUCCAGGUUCUCAGUAAUAAUAUUUUUAUUAUUUAAUUUGAGAUUUGAGGAGUGAAUUGACGAGUUGGUGCCUAAACUCAUCGAGUGGAGUCAUGGCUGGUGACGUGGAUUAAUGAAUGGAGUCGACGAGUCUAUGAGGCGACUCACCGAGUUAGCGUUGUUGAAGGAAACCCUAAUUUCACGGGCAUAUGGCCUAUUUAAAGGCACUUAUAGCCUCCCUUCGUGGCCACUUUUUCCAGAGAGAAACCCUAAAUGAUCUUUGAGCUUAUAGAGAGAAAGAGAGAACUAACCUUGAGCAUUUUGGUGUAUCUUUGCAAAGAAAGGAGAAGGUUUCAAGCAAGGAGCAAAAGAAGGCUGUUAGAAUGUCAAUAUACAUCCAAGGGCUUCUGUUAGAGGUAUCAAGUUUGAACCUUUCUCUCUUGUUUGAGUAGAUCUCUCAUUUUUAAGAUUAGGGAUUCUUUUCUUUAUAUUUUGGGACUUUGAGGAUUUGGGGUUCAUGAUGAGGCUUGAACUACAGAUCUGGACCUUAGGAGGUCCCUAGAACCUAAAGGUUCUUGCUUUAUUCAGCCUUGGGGGAAACUUAUGAGUAAAAAACCCAUUUAGAUCGUGUUCUUGGUAUUCAUGUCCAAAAUGCCAUGCAUGGACGUAAAGUCUAUGACUUUACGUGAUAAAGGAGUCCUGAGAGUGGGGAUCUAGAGUUUGGGAAAGUAUCCUGCCUUAAAAGCAUCUGAAUGCAAGUUGAUUCUGAAUGGACUCGCCGAGUUGAUGAGUCAACUCGGCGAGUAGAUUAGGGUUUGUCUCGAUGAGCUUUAUCAUGCGAUGGCUCAGCGAGUUAAGGGUUAACUCGACGAGAUGGACCUUCAGGAGAUUACUGAGAACAAUGGGACUCGACGAGUCGCACGAGUGCACUCGACGAGUCUAGUUAAUUUGGGCUGUUGACUGGAACUGACUUCUGUUGACUUUAGGGUUGAUCAAAUGAGUAAUGGAGGUCAAGGAAGGGUAAAAUGGCCUUUUACCCAUUUCUAGGGCUAAGAGUGUAAGAGAGACCAAUGAAUGGUGUACUCGAGUAUGAGGAGAGUAUUAAUUAGAGAUAUUAUCCUUGUGAUAGGUAGAGGCUAGAUCGAAAAUUUCGAGCACACGAUUUUAUUUGCUAGCUUACGAGGUGAGUCUCCUGACUAUACUUUGCCUAGAGUGGUAUCUAUGUGUGAGCAAAGGGUCUUAUGUGUUUAUUUGAGUAAUGUGAUAUUACUGCAUUAUGUCUAUGUGAUUAUGCUAUACGUAUUUAGAGUUUACAGAGUUAGGACCGAAGGGUCCAUAGAGUUAGGACCGAGGGGUCCAUCAGAGUUGUGGGACUGGAGGGUCCCACUGAGACACAUUGACUGGAGGGUCUUAUAGAGUUAUAGCCUCGAGUGGCUAAUAUGUUGGAUGUGGUAUUUUGGGUAACUCUCUAAGAUUUAUGCUUUCCAUGUUAUGUGUUAUGUGUUUCAGGUACUUCCAAGGAUCGCGGGAGGCACCAGCGUGAUUGUACACAUAUGUCCGAGAUUAUGUUGAAGGUUCUGGGAUUUGACUUUUGAUUUAAGUUGAUAUUGAAACACUUAUGGUUUUUAUGAAGUAUGAUAUAUGAAUUUUAUGUGUUUUAACGAUGAAGAAUUUGGUUUGAAAUUUUACGUUGUUACAAGUUGGUAUCAGAGCCUUGGUUUGAGGGAUUCGAAUGCACCUUCAGGUAUGUCUGGACACAAACUGAGGCUUUGAGAAAAUUUUCAAGAAAAACGAUUUUUUUUUCUAAAAAGAAUAAGAGUUUCCAUGAGAAAAAUGAGGAAGAGCAGUGUGUACAAUCAACGAGCGCCCGAACAGUGAUUUUCCCAGAAUACCCUUACCUGUAGUGUUAUGAGAUAUUUAUGAGAUAUUAUGAGAUAUGUUAUCCAUGCUAGAGAGUAGGCUAGGUACUUCAUAUUUUAGGACUAGAGUGGCUUGAUUUGUGAUGCCUUAGCCUAGGAAUUACUGUUACCUGUGAUUUUCUUUGAGUGCGAGUAUGUAGCAGAAAUGAGCUUAUGAGAGUAGUCUGUGUUCGGCGAGAUACAAAGUACUUGCGAUCUGGAAUCCUAGGAGGAGGACUUGGGGUGAUUACAGAUGCAGUGUGGAAGGUAGUAUUGGGCCCGUACUACUGAAAGCACCGGGUCAGUGAGCAGUCUGAGUAAGAAUCCUUAGGAUGCUAAGGAACAAGUAGGGUCGAGCGAUCGAGUGUGAGCAUACUCAAGCGAGUCUUUGAUUAUUUUGUUUUGUAUUUCAGAGAUAUCAUGGUGGGUACGCACCACAACCCAGGGGGCAGUGGUACCAGUAACGAGGAGAUUCGCAGGAUGAUUCACGAGGAGGUGGCCAUAGCUAUCCGAGAGGCCAUCCCAGAGAUGUUUGGGUCUAUCAAGACCACCUUGAUCGAGACGUUUGACGAGCGAUAUGCUACUGUUACCGCGGCGGCUGCCACUGCUGCCAGGCCACAAGGGGGUGACACGUUGUUGUACCGGGAUUUCAUCAACACGAAGCCACCCGAGUUUGAUGGGACUCAAGAUUUGAUUGACGCGAUGAGAUGGAUUUCUGAUAACGAGGGGUGUUUUUACACUUAUUCCUGUCCGGAACAUUUGAGGGUACGGUUCGUGCUGAACCAGCUUCGCUCGGGAGCGAAGGAAUGGUGGAAGUUUGUGACAACCAUUUUCACUUAUGCAAGGCUCACUGCAAUGUCAUGGGAGAGUUUUAAUACUAUGUUUCGAGAUGAGUAUGUUCCCCAGGUGGAGAGGGAACAGUUGGCCUAGGAGUAUCUGACCCACAAGCAGAGGACAGAGUCAGUGAUAGUGAUUACGAGGAUGUUCCAUAAGAGGGUAAUGUUCUGCCCUAAGCACGUGUCUACCAAACAGGGACGUAUGAUCCGGUAUUUGAGCAUUCCGAGGAGGGAUAUUCGAGAGUUCGUGGCGAACUCGACUUAUUGAUCAUUUGCUGAGCUUCAAGCAAAUGCCCGAAAGAGGGAGAUUGAGCUGGAGACUCAGGACAGAGAGGAGGCGGAGUCUCAGGGGAGGGAUCGACGGCCGUCAUAGUCUCAGCCAACAGCUAAGCGGGCUAAGCCGGCAGAUUCGAGAUCAGGAGCACAGAAGGGCUGCACUUAUGGGAAGUGUGGAAAGGGUCACGACGGGAUAUAUCGAGCACGGUCUUGUUACAAGUGUGGCAAGGAGGGGCACAUGGCGAAGGAUUGCCCCAAUGGGUCUGCACCUGUUACUACACGAGCUACCGAGAGUCGGCCCGUGAAGGCUGAUGCGCCAAAGCUUCAUGGGAGGGCCUUCCAGCUGACAGCGGAGGAGGUCCGCACAGCACCUGAUGUCGUGGCCGGUAUGUAUUCCUUUGUUUAUUCUAUUCUGAGUUAUUUGUGCUUAUAGUGUGAUUUACGUAGGUACUUUUCUUGUGAGUUUUGUACUUGCCUUAGUGUUAUUUGACUCGGGUGCGAGUCGAUCGUUCGUAUCAUUAGUGUUUAGUCACCACAUUAGUAUCUGACGUGAGUCGUUGAGUCGGCCUCUGAGAGUUUCUAUAGCCGAUAAGCACGCAGUGUUUUCCACUGAUGUGAUCCGAGGAUGUGUGCUCGAUAUUUUUGGUGUUGAGUUUCCGAUAGAUUUGGUACCAAUCGCCAUGGGUGAUGUAUGUGUCAUUGUGGGCAUGGACUGGUUGAGCCUAUUCAGAGCUGUAAUCGACUGCGAGCGUCAGUUGGUGGCCAUACAAAACCCUAGUGGGGGAGUGCUUAUAGUUAUGGCGAGGGUACCCGAUCAGGAUCAGCUUUCUACUCUAUUGCCAGAGCGAGACAGAGUUUAAAGCAGGGUUGCAUGGGUUUUCUGGCGUACGUGAUGGAUUUGCAGGUUGCUACUGGGAGACCGAGUUCUAUCUCUGAGGUUCCGAUAGUAUGUGAGUUUGCAGAUGUUUUCCUCGAGGAGUUGCCGCGAGUGCCUCCCAAGAGGCAGGUAGAGUUUCGGAUUGAUUUGAUUCAGGGUGCGGCACCUAUUUCCAAGGCACCCUAUCGCCUUGCGCCAUCAAAGAUGCAUGAUUUAUUCUCCCAGCUCCAGGAGCUGCUAGGGAAGGGGUUCAUUAGACCGACCAGUUGAUCGUGGCGAGCUCGGAUCCUUUUUGUCAAGAAAAAUGAUGGUUCGCACCGUAUGUGCAUCGAUUAUAGGGAGUUGAACAAGAAGACGGUCAAGAACCGAUAUCCACUUCCGAGGAUCGACGAUCUGUUCGAUCAGUUGCAGGGUGCGUCUUGGUUUUUCAAGAUUGAUUUGAGGUCUGGAUAUCAUCAGAUGAGAGUUCAUGAAUAGGAUAUCUAGAAGACGUCCUUUAGAACUCAUUAUGGGCAUUACGAGUUCGUGGUGAUGCCUUUUGGACUCACCAACACACCGGCAGCGUUCAAGGAUCUCAUGAACCGGGUGUGCAGGCCUAUGCUAGACCGAUCAGUGAUCAUUUUCAUCGACAAUAUUUUGGUGUACUCGAGAUCUUGAGAGCAGCAUGAGGAGCAUUUGAGAGAGAUUCUUGGAGUAUUGAGAUCGGAGAGGCUUUAUGCAAAAUUCUCCUAGUGUGAUUUCUGGUUACGAGAGGUCCAGUUCUUGGGACACCUCAUUAAUCAGAAUGGUAUUUUGGUGGAUCCGGACAAGAUUGAGGUAGUCAUGCGUUGGGAGGUGCCGAGAUCCCCAUCCGAGAUCAGGAGUUUUCUGAGAUUAGCCGGCUACUAUCGGAUAUUCAUCAGAGAUUUCUCCAAGAUCGUCGUCCCCCUCACCAGGUUGACCCGGAAGGGUGUUACUUUUAUUUGGGGUCACGAGCGGCAUACCUCAUUUGUGAACCUUCGCCAGAGAUUGUGUAAAGCCCCAGUGUUAGCCCUUCCCGGGGGAGUGGAGAACUUCGUGGUUUUCUGUGAUGCAUCCAUAUCCAGGUUGGGUGCGGUGUUGAUGCAGAGAGAGCAUGUGAUAACAUACGCAUCGAGGCAGUUGAAGCCUCAUGAGACAAGGUAUCCCACCCAUGAUCUGGAGUUAGGGGCGGUGGUGUUCGCCCUCAAGAUCUGGCGCCACUAUUUGUACGGGGUUCGAUGUAUCAUAUACACGGACCACAAGAGCCUGAAGUAUCUCAUGGAUCAAACCAAUCUAAAUAUGAUGCAAAGGAGAUGGUUGGAUGUGGUGAAAGACUAUGACUGCGAGAUCCUGUAUCAUCCGGGCAAGGCUAAUGUGGUAGCCGACGCCCUAAGCCACGAGGUAGAGAGUUCUCCGAUCUAAGAUGUGUGUAUGAGGAUGACGGUGAUGACUCCAGUCUUAGAUACCAUCCGAGAGGCCCAAGCGGAGGCCAUGAAACCGGAGAACCGCAAGAGGGAACGAGUGAUUGGGCAGGUGUCCGAGUUUGUGAUGGAUAGCCGAGGACUCAUGACUUUCCGAGGGCGGAUUUGGGUGCCCUGUACGGUCAGAGCUCGACAUAUACUAAUGGAGUAGGCUCAUAGAUCGAGGUUCUCAAUCCAUCCUGGGGCUACUAAGAUGCAUUUAGAUCUGAAGAGAGACUAUUGGUGGCCCUGUAUGAAGAAGGAUGUUGCUUGGGUAGUUGAGAGGUGCUUGACCUGCUGUCGGUUCAAGGCAGAGCAUCGGCGUCCACAUGGUCCAUUGUUGCCUCUUGAGAUUCCCCAGUGGAAGUGGGAACAGAUCUCGAUGGACUUUAUAACCAUGUUGCCGAGGACUGCACAAGGAGUUGACGCAAUUUGGGUGAUCGUGGACCGGAUGACGAAGAGUGCUUACUUCCUUACUAUUAGUGAGAGAUCUUCCGUGGAAAAAUUGGUUGGGAUCUAUGUGAGAGAAGUGGUAGCACGUCAUGGUGUGCCGGUCUGGAUAGUAUCGGAUCGAGACAUACGUUUCACUUCCAGGUUUUGGAAGAAGUUUCAUGAGGAGUUGGGCACACGCUUGCAUUUCAGUACGGCGUAUCACCCACAAACGGACAGGCAGAGCGAGCGGACGAUUCAUACGCUUGAGGACACGUUGCGGGCAUGUGUCAUGGACUUCGUAGGAAGUUGGGACACCUACAUACCACUGGCUGAGUUUUCAUACAACAACAGUUAUCAUUCGAGUAUUGAUAUGCCUCCCUUUGAGCUUCUGUAUGGGAGAAGGUGUCAGACUCCCAUUUUCUGGGGAGACGUUGGACAGAGAGUGAUUGGUGGCACGGAGAUAGUGCUGAAAACAACCGAACGGAUUCAGUAGGUCAGACAGAGGCUUCUGACGGCACAGAGUCGCCAAAAGAGUUAUGCGGACAGGCGACGGUCCAUGCUAGAAUUUCAGGUCAGGGAUUUUGUUCUUCUGAAGGUAUCCCCACGGAAAGGAGUGAUCCAAUUCUGGAAGCGGGGUAAGCUGGGACCCUGAUACAUCGGUCCUUUCAGGGUGACCGCCAGAGUGGGCAGGGUAGCUUACCAGUUGGAGCUACCUGCGGAGUUGAGCCAAAUCCAUAACACCUUCCACGUGUCCUAGUUGAGGAAGUGUGUGGUCGAUGAGACGACAACAGUACCACUGGAGGACAUUCAGGUAGAUGCGAGCCUGAACUACAUUGACAGGCCAAUCGCGAUUCUAGAUAGAAAGGUGACGGUUCUGAGGAACAAGGAAGUGCCCCUGGUUCAGGUCCAGUAGCAACAUCGGAGGGGAUCCGAGUUGACUUAGGAGUCGGAGUCAGAGAUGCGGGAGCAGCAUCCAGAGUUAUUUGUUGAGCAUCCCUUCGAGGGUGAAGUUUGAUUCUAGUGGGGGAGAAUUGUAACAUCCGUGUUCUUAGGUAUAAUAUUUUUAUUAUUUAAUUUUAGAUUUGAGGAAUGACUCGACGAGUUGGUGCCUAAACUCGUCGAGUGGAGUCAUGGCUGGUGACGUGGAUUAAUGAAUGGAGUCGACGAGUCUAUGAGGCGACUCACCGAGUUAGCGUUGUUGAAGGAAACCCUAAUUUCACGGGCAUAUGGCCUAUUUAAAGGCACUUAUAGCCUCCCUUCGUGGCCACUUUUUCCAGAGAGAAACCCUAAAUGAUCUUUGAGCUUAUAGAGAGAAAGAGAGAACUAACCUUGAGCAUUUUGGUGUAUCUUUGCAAAGAAAGGAGAAGGUUUCAAGCAAGGAGCAAAAGAAGGCUGUUAGAAUGUCAAUAUACAUCCAAGGGCUUCUGUUAGAGGUAUCAAGUUUGAACCUUUCUCUCUUGUUUGAGUAGAUCUCUCAUUUUUAAGAUUAGGGAUUCUUUUCUUUAUAUUUUGGGACUUUGAGGAUUUGGGGCUCAUGAUGAGGUUUGAACUACAGAUCUGGACCUUAGGAGGUCCCUAGUACCUAAAGGUUCUUGCUUUAUUCAGCCUCGGGGGAAACUUAUGAGUGAAAAACCCAUUUAGAUCAUGUUCUUGGCAUUUCAUGCCCAAAAUGCCAUGCAUGGACGUAAAGUCUAUGACUUUACGUGAUAAAGGAGUCCUGAGAGUGUGGAUCUGGAGUUUGGGAAAGUAUCCUGCCUUAAAACCAUAUGAAUGCUAGUUGAGUCUGAAUGGACUCGCCGAGUUGAUGAGCCAACUCGGCGAGUAGAUUAGGGUUUGUCCCGAUGAGCUUUAUCAUGCGAUGGCUCGGCAAGUUAGGGGUUAACUCGAUGAGCUGAACCUUCAGGAGAUUACUGAGAACGAUGGGACUCGACGAGUCGCACGAGUGCACUCGAUGAGUCUGGUCAAUUUGCGCUGUUGACUGGAAUUAACUUCUGUUGACUUUAGGGUUGAUCAAAUGAGUAAUGGAGGUCAAUGAAGGGUAAAAUGGUCUUUUACCCAUUUCUAGGGCUAAGAGUGUAAGAGAGACCAAUGAAUGGUGUAGUCGAGUAUGAGGAGAGUAUUAAUUAGAGAUAUUAUCCUUGUGAUAGGCGGAGGCUACACCGAAAAUUCCGAGCAUGCGAUUUUAUUAACUAGCUUACAAGGUGAGUCUUCUCACUAUACUUUGCCUAGAGUGGUAUCUAUGUGUGACCAAAGGGUCUUAUGUUUUUAUUUGAGCAAUGUGAUAUUACUGCAUUAUGUAUGUGUGAUUAUGCUAUGUGUAUUUAGAGUUUACAAAGUUAGGACCAGAGGGUCCCACUGAGACACAUUGACCGGAGGGUCUUACAGAGUUAUAGCCACAAGUGGCUAAUAUGUUGUAUGUGCUAUUUUUGGGAACUCACUAAGCUUUAUGCUUAUCGUGUUAUGUGUUAUGUGUUAUGUGUUUCAGGUACUUCCGAGGAUCGCGGGAAGACACCGACGUGAUUGUACACAUCUACUCGAGAUUAUGUUGAGGGUUUUGGGAUUUGACCUUUGAUUUAUGUUGAUAUUGUAACACUUAUGGUUUUUAUGAAGUAUGAUAUAUGAAUUUUAUGUGUUUUAACAAUGAAAAAUUUGGUUUGAAAAUUUACGUUGUUACAUGUGACUUGUGUACAUACUCAUUACAAAAGGAUCACUGCAUAUAAGCUUAGAUUCUUACAGAUUACAAUAAGUGGAAAGGACUUGGUAUUCUUACACUUAUGGUAAGGAUCUACAUGCUUGGAGCAUGUGAUAACUAUUGUUUUAAUUCAAGUGUGAAGUUGAUAAAUCGAAGCAUUAUACAAUGAAUAAUGUGUAAUAAAUAUGGUGAUUAAAUAAAAAGUGUUUUAUUUAUAUUCAAAAGUUUUGAGACCAUAUUGGAUUUGAUUACUCUUUUGUUUCACUUUGCAUAUUUUGACUUCCUGAAUAACUAGGUUAUUCAAACCAUCCACAGUCGAUCAUACUUUGGAAGUAGGUAUUGAAGCUAGACUGUCAUGAAUGGGUUUGUAGAUUGUCUAAAGGCGUUUAGACAUAGCACAAGUUUGCUGUAGUGUUCAUGAGUUCUCCUGUAAUAAGAUUUGAGUAUUGGAUUAAACCCACGCUCAUCUGAAUCACUUCAUGGAUUUUAUACCGAGUGAUUGUGAGACGAUAAUAUCCUAUAUUCUUGAAACCAUGUGAGUUGUAGUUUACAAGUCGGUUGCACAUUGACAUAUGUAAACACACCCGUAACUUGGUGUUAUAAAACAUAUUGUUGUGUGUGAUUUGAUGAGUAAGUACAAGCAAGAAUUUGAGUCGAAGUUUAUCCGUUCCUUUUACCCAAUGUGGAUAAAAGCGAUAUCUGUGGGCCUGUCGAUGAUUUAGUGAUGACAACCCUAAGUGCUUGGCCAAGCCUGGACUGAUUUGAUUUGUUCAGUUAGUCGGUCGUCAUAAAUCAGAAAUCGAGAAACAACACAUGAACAAAGCGAAUGAUUAUAAUCCAUGUAUCAGUUCAUACGAUAUCUAGAAUGGAGGAAUAUAUGAUCCCUUAUCUAAUAGACACGUCAUUGACUAGGUCAGAGUUCGACAUCGGCUUUUAAGAGCUAUGAUUGGUAGUCGAGAUUUUGGAGUCGUACAUGCAAUAAUAGUUAUUAACUGUAUCCAAGUGGGAGACUAUUGGAUUAGGUGUCUAAGCCCAUAACUAUAAUUGGUAUGUACUUGACCCGAGAGUAGCAUGGUCUGCUUGGGUUGCCUUCACAAGAACAAUCUGAUAGGAUGGAUAUUUGAGAAAGAGGUUAUUUAUGAUUUAUUAAUAUAUUACAUGUAUAAUAUAUUAAUUGUGAAAUCAUAUUAUUUAAUUAGUAUUGAUCAAGAAUUAAUUUAGUGAUCAAAAGAGAAUAAUUAAAUUAGCGGGGACUGAUUAUGUAAAUCAGUGAUAUAUACAGUGUUUGGGCUAUUGAUUCAUGGUGGGCUAAGUUUUAUGUAAGUAUCCAUGAAGAGUUAGCCCACAUGAGAAAUGGAUCGUAACCUAAGUGUAUGGAUUAGGGUUUACCCAUGACUCUUGGAAUCCUACACUAUAUAUAUAUAUAUAUAUCCCUAAGGCUAAAAAUCGGNAAUUGGUGACCCUAAGCAUUCUAAGAGUUCUAAGAGAACCCUAGCCGAUUUUGGUGGUGCUUAACCUCUCUCUCAAAGUCCUCAUUUUUUCAUGGUGUUUGUGAACCAUUUAAGGUAUCACACUUGAGGUGCUAAGCUCUUGAAAGGCCAAGAACUACAAACUACAUCAAGAGGUAUUCAUCUAACUUGAUUUUAUAUGGUAUAUGCUCUAUGGUAUGCUAGUUAGGAUGUAUGAUUUGGAAAAAUUCAAAUUGCAUGUAUAAUUAGAGAAAACAUAGAUCCAAAGCAUCUAGGGUUGCAUGUGCACCAUAGGAGUGUUAUAGUGCUUAAAACCCAACACUUCAUUGGGGUGGUCAUGAGUAUAAAGAGGGAUUAACUCAUGCCUUGAGCAAGGCGGAUAGUGAGGUCGGAGAGCAUAUCUCUGUUAUGGGAGGAGGAACAUUAGGGUCUGAGGCAAGGUUGGGCCUGUUUAGCUCUUGAUGGGGUGAGACCCGUAUGCAUGGCCCAUUCAUUGGUAUAGACUGGGUGAGACCCAUGGGAUAGGCUUGUGUGUCUAUAACAAUGCAUGUGAGACCUGAUAGUGACUGGUUGGGUCAGGGAAUUAGAUCAAGGUUUUAGUAGGAUGAUUAUUUGGCCAGGGAGUGGCAUGGUGUAGUGCAUAGGCAAGGAUAGCCUUAUCGGUUGGAUUCUCAGGAAUCUAGUUGCUAGACCAGGUGUGAGACUAGUAGUCUCUGCGGUGGUUUGGGGAUAUUUAUAUCCCAGUUUAGUGAAUGGAUGCAAUGAGUUAGAAGGUUUAGGGUGAAAUGUAAGUGUAAAGCCUUAUAUCCCAGGUUAUGACGUAUGUAUCGAGUUGCCUUUCGGUCAAGAAUCCUUUGAUUAUGUUUUAGAUUGGUUCCAACUGUGUGGAGGUUAGUCAAGUGAUGGGAUUCCGAAAUUUUCGUAGUAUCAUGUUGGAUCGAUAGUUAUAGGAUCAAUGUUUUGUUCAGCACCGGUAGGUUUUGUUCGGAGCGUUGCUUUCCAGGAGGGUGGUAAGGAAUGACUUCGAGGAAGAAAUCUAAUUUAAGUAGGGGAGAGUUGUAAUGCCCUGUUCCGAAUCAUUUCCUAAUGCGAGGCGGUAACCCAAAGAACGGGUAUCAUCAGCCUCGGGGUCUUUGAGGGAAUGAGAUGUAGACCCAUUUGGGUGUGGGUUAUGUAACUUGGAUGAUUCCGUAGUUCGGUUUGUGUUUUGGAGCCAAUGGGUAUUUCGAUAAAGUGUCAGUUCGGGCUUUUAUGGAAAUUGGAUUUUUGUUUGGGAAGUUUUAAGGCAAGUAUAAGUUGAUAUAAGUGUAGAGCUUCUCGUUACAUCUUUGUGGAUAUAAGGGUCGUCAAAAACAGACUUAUAACAAAAAAGUUAUGGCAUUCAGAAGAUUGUAGGGUUCAAGGCUAAGGUCAGUACGUGGGGUGUACAUUGGUGUACGAUUGGCUUACUAAGCAGUUGGAUAGCGAAACUUAAGGGGAGUACGCUGGAUGUACUCCAGAUUCAUGCAAACCCUAAAUGAGGGUGUUGGACCUUAUUUAAGCUCAUUAUCUCUUCACUAAACCCUAAUACCUUUAGCAUCCAUCCCUUUUUAACCCAAGAUUCGAACCCCAAGUGCAUUGUGGUGAUUUUGAGCUUGGAACUGUUUUGUGGGUGUUUUGUGAAGAAGAAGAAGAAGAAGAAGAGAAACACUUGGAGGAGUGGCUUGAGCUUGUAGAUGUAGGAGUAUUUUUCCAUUUGCAAUCUCUCUAAGGUAAAAAGCUUAUAUCUUGAUAAUUAAUUUGUUUGGAUCUACUUUGUGGUGUUUCUUUUGUAUUUUUGAGUCCCUUGAAGUAAAGGUGGGUUUUUGAUCUACUCUAGAAGUAGUUGAUGUUUGAUCUAAGCUCAAAUAAGGUCCCUUGUUCAUAAAAAUGGAAACUUUAUCUGAGUUGUUGGUCCAUGCAAGUAUUAAGAACCUUAUUAAGUUCCUUUCUAAGUGUUGAGUCCCAUUAAGGCAUGUAUAUGAGUAAAGUUGGCAACUUUAUUGGUUAAGACCUUGUCUAGGGACCAGAUCUAUGUUUUGGACAUCUUGGAUUAACCCAUUAAGAGCUAAAUGUGGGUUUUGGAUUUCUGACGAGUACAUUGGGCGUAUGAGGAGGUACAGUCAGCUUAAUGUUGGGUUGCACAUUAGACGUUUGUACUUUGUGCAUCAUGGUCAAGUACGCGGGGCGCACAUCUCGAGUUUGCAGGGUGUACUCCCCAAUUCAGCAAAAUUGGGCCUUUUGAAUUUGGGCCUUAUUGGGCCAUUAGGCUUCUAUUUUGGGCCAUGGUUAGGUUGAGGACUUUCUUGGUAAUGGUCCCAUGAGAGUUUUAGGCCCAAUUUGGAAGUUGGGCCAUAUUGGGCCUGAGUUGCCAUCUUGGGCCUUUGGUGUAUUUGGGUUGGGCCUUGGUUUUGGGCCACAUGAGAAAAGGGUAAAAUGGUCUUUUACCCUUUAGGAAGUUGGUUUAUGGAGUGGGCCUCGAAAUUUGGAUUUUGGGUUGAUCAUUGAUUGUGUUUUGUAGUUAUUGUUAGUUGACGUGAAGUCAUCUGGUUCAGUUACCCAAGCAGUCAUUGUUUAUCAGCGGAUUAAGGUGAGUUUCUUCACUGUGUUUAGCGAGUCGAAGACACCAAUGCUGACCAAAUUCUUAUAUUUUAGGAUGCUAGAAGUAUGUGUGACUCUUUCAUGUGUUAUGGUAUGCUUACCGGGCACAACCCGAUGCCAAGCGGGGCCUGAUGAGUAUAUUGUAUGCUAGUUAUUAGUAUGUGUUUUCUGCUUUCCUAGCGAUACCCGAUGCCGGGAGGGGCACGAUGACUGUAUGGUAUGCUAUUGUCUUCAUGAAUAUCACAUGUGUUUGUAUGGUUAUAUGUUUAUAUGCUUAGAUGUGUAUUGGGCAGAGCCUGAUGACUGAUAGAUCUGUAUAUCGAGCGGGGGUCGAAGAAGGGCGGGGGACCCAAUAGGUGGUUAUUAUGUAUAGUAUGUGGUAUUUUGGGGAACUCACUAAGUUUUGUGCUUAAGGUUUUAUGGUUAUGGUUUCAGGAACUAUCGGUUCGAAAGGGAAGAGCCCGACUUGAUCGCAACGCAUCCACCCAUGUUUCUGCAUUAUGUUUUUUCUGGGAUUGUACUCUGAUAACCGUUUUCUUAUAAAAUUACUUUUGAAUAAUUGGCUAGGAAGAUAUUGAAUGUUGACUUAAAGAUAAUUAAUGUUUUGGUUGAAUUAAAAAUGAAAUUUUUACUUCAUAAUUUUGGGUUGUUACACUUUUCUUCUAAAAUCCAACCUUUUGACUCCUUGAAGCCCUAAAUCGAUUCAUCCAGGAAAACGGGCGUUAUAGGUACACUUUGCAAAAUGCUAAAGGUGGGAGACUAGUCUAAAGCAAGUGUGAAACUUAUGAGGACUUAAGACAUAUGUUAGUUGUUUUAAUUUAUGUAGAGGAUCUAGAGAUGGGAAAGGGAAGGAGACUAGUAGGUAUGCUUUGUCUAGGGAAAAUGAAUUGUAAGGGUAAUGAACUAUACAAAAAUACCAUUGAACUUUUUUUCGUACACAUAUCGCCAACCAACUAUAACGUUUGUACACGUAUAACAAUUAAACUUCACAUUUGUUCAAAAAAUACAAUUACGUUACCAGUAAUAGUAGGUCGCCAGCCACGUGGCAUGUCACGUUGUUGCUAACGUGGAUUUUACUGUUUAUUACGUAUUAUUAUGUACACAUUAUACCAUUAAACUUUUUUUGAGCACAUUAUUAAACUUUUUAUUUGUACAUAUUUUACUAUUAAACUUUUUUUGUAUACAUUUGACCAUUAUUCUUAUAUAUUUUAUUCAAAAAAAAAUAUAUCAUUUCAAAAAAUACAUAUUAUUACAUAAAAAUGGGUUUUCUAUCACCUAUUGUUACUUCCUGAUUUUGUAAGGUUUGGGGGAGAGGGUUCGCUUUUGACAAUGAUACUAAGCACUCCCUUUUACAACUACAUUGUACAUUUAUGUUGGUCAUACAUCGAUUGAAACCCACAAGGUUUGAACUUGAGACUUCCCUUUGGAGUGUCCAAGAAAUACUCAAUUAUUCAUUAUUUUAGCUAAAGUUUAAUAAACUUACACUAUAAGUCAUACAUAAUUUCAGUGCACUUUUCUAAUCAUCAACCAUAAUCAAGAAGGGAGGGGGUGGGGGAGGAGGAGGAUUCGAAAUCUAAUAUAAUGGAUAAUAGAGUAUUCAUAUAUUUAUACAUUCAAAUGUAAGGAAAAUGACUUGUAAGGGUAACGAAGUAUCAAAAUUAUAUAAAAAAUUUCAUUGAAUUUUUUUUGUACACAUAUCGCCUACUAAUUAUAAUGUUUGUACAUGUAUGACCAUUAAACUUCACCUUUAUUCAAAAAAUACCAUUACGUUACCGGUAAUAGUAGGUCACCAGCCAUAUGGCAUGCCACGUGGCUGUUGACGUGAAUUUUACUAUUUAUUAUGUACACAUUAUACCAUUAAACUUUUUUUUGUACACAUUAUACCAUUAAACUUUUUUGUAUACGUUUUACCAUUAAACUUUUUUGUACACAUUUUACUAUUAAUCUUAUUUAAUUUAUUCAAAAAAAUAUCAUUUCAAAAAUACAUAUUAUUAUAUAAAAAUGAGUCUUCCAUCACCUAUUAUGACUCCCUGGUUUUGUAAGGUUUUGGGGGAGAGGGUUCGCUUUUGACAAUGAUAUUAAACACUUCUUUUUACAAUUGUUUCGUACAUUUAUGUUGGUCAUAUAUCGAUUGAAACCCACAAGUUUUGAACUUAGACUUUCCUCUAAAGUGCACAAGUCUUACUCGACAAACCAUCAAGAUAACAACUUAAUAUUAUUAUAUAAGUAUAAAGUAUUUUUGCAAGUAACCACAAAAUAUUUCAAUAUAUAAAUACAUAUCUUUACGUACAUAUAAAACAUAUUUACAAUAAAUAUGUGUUUUUUACAUAAAAAAACACAUAUUUAUUGUAAAUAUGCUUUAUAUGUAUGUAAAAAUACAUAUUUAUACAUUGAAAUACUUUAUGAAUACUUGUAAAAAUACUUUAUACUUAUAUAAUAAUAUUAAGUUGUCAUCGUGAUGGCUCGUCAGAUAAGGCUUGUGCACUUUAGAUGGAAGUCUCAAGUUCAAACAUUGACUUUCAAUCGAUGUAUGACCAAUAUAAAUGUACCAAACAUUUGUAAAAGGUAGUGUUUAACAUCUUUGUCAUAAGUGAACCUUUUCCCGCAAACCUUACAAAAUCAAGGAAUAACAAUAGUUGAUAGAAAACCCAUUUUUAUCUAAUAAUUAUAUGUAUUUUUUGAAAUGAUAUUUUUUUUUGAAUAAAAGAUAUAAGAAUAAUGGUCAAAUGUAUACAAAAAAAAUUUAGUGGUAAAAUAUGUACAAAAAAAAAAGUUUAAUAAUAUGUUCAAAAAAAGUUUAAUGGUAUAACGUAUAUAUAAUAAACAAUAAUAUCCACGUCACUAGUCACGUGGCAUGCCACAUGACUGGUGACCUAUUAUUACCGAUAACGUAAUGAUAUCUUUUGAACAAAUGUGAAGUUUAAUAGUUAUAUGUGUACAAACGUUAUAAAUGAUUACUGAUAUGUGUACAGAAAAAUUCAAUGAUAUUUUUUAUACAAUUUUGAUACUUCAUUAUCUUUACAAAUCAUUUUCCUGCUUUUAUACCAAACGAAACAAACAUCAACUUUUCUGUUCUAAAUCAACAGUUAACAAAAUGGCUUAUAUUAAAACAAAUUACAUAUCUUUGCAUGCGCAUGAGCACUCUAAUGACCAUUUACAGUUGACCGGUGUAAAACGAUUAACAGUUAAAUAAAAAGAAAUUUAAGUCAUAUAAAAAAAGAAAAUGACAAAAAUAGCCACGCUUAAAGUACAAUAUACACGAUGAUGUUUACUGAAUUGCGAAAAUGGAUCACUUCGAAAUGCCACAAUUCUUUGAGAAACAACACUAUUCACUACAUAUGCCACUAUUCACACGAAAAAUAUUAAAUUUAUUAGUACUGUGAAAUUGUUCUUUGUAACGCAACAUAUAUUUUUCAAAAAUCACGUUUUAUUUAUCAAGGAAACAUCUUUUGAAUUUUUUUUUAUGGUACGGAUCUUCAAAAACUAUUUGCAAAAUGAAUUUAUAUUACGAAAUGAAGUCUUAAAUUAAAAGACUUUUUUUUUUCAAAAUUGGAACCGGUUUUUAAAAUUUCGUAUCUCACUCAUAUGAAAUCAGAAUUACUUGUUUUUUUUUUUUUUUUUUUUUUUCAAAAUGUAAUUUAGUGUUUUAAAUUCAUUUUAGACUAUAAAAAAAAUUGGUUAAAUAUUGAAUCAUAUAAAAACCCCAAAAGACACCAUAUCAAUGGUGCGUUAUUUAUGUUUCAACAUGUUUUAUUUUAUUUUGUCUUACUUUUUAAAAUACCGUUAUUCAUUAAUACGAAGUUAGAAUUAUUUGAUUUUUUUCCAACAUUUAAUUUAAUGUUUGUAUUUCAUUUUAGACUAUAACAAAUCAUAUUUGGUUAAAUAUUAAAUCAUAUACAAGCCUCAAAAGACAACAUAUCAAUGUUAUGUGCUUUUUUAAUAUUCUAUCAUGGUUUUUAAAAUACCAUAACCCCCUCACAUAAAGUUAGAAUUACUUGAUUUUUUUUUCCAACAUGUAAUUAAGUGUUUGUACUUCAUUUUAGACCGUAAAAAAACAUAUUUUGGUUAAAUAUUGAAUCCGAUAUAAACUUGGAAAGACAGCAUAUCAAUGCAACAAUUUUUCAUUUUUUUUUUUCAUCCAUGACUCAAACUAUAGAAUGAAAAGGGAAGAAGGUGUUGUAAGGGAGAAAACUCGAAGUAGGCACCUCAAAGUAUAAGGGUUAUACAUUGAACCAUUUGCACUACAAGCUAUUUAUGAUGUUAUCUUACAAAAUACAUUGAUAUAUAUUAUUUACAAAAAAAUUAUAUUUUUUAUAAUUUUGACUCGGUUUGAUUUUAUCGGUUUUUAUGUUUUCUAAAAUCGAAACCGAACCCAAUAUUUUGGUUUGAAAAAAACUCGAACCCAAAUCAUCAACAUCUAUUUUGAUUUUGGUGUUGUCGGUUUCCGGGUUCUACUUUUUUCACCCAUAAGAAUUUUCAUUCGCCUAAGACUAAGGGGUUGUUUGAUAGUUGUUGACUGGGUUAGAUCUGACUGAGUCUGAAGCUCUGACUGUAUUUGUUUCUGACUGAAACUAUAUUGUUUGAUUAAACAUCUGAUUGGCUGUGUUAACUAUAAAAAAUGAUCAUUUUACCCUUUUAUUUUGUUUUAUGUCGGAUAAAAUGAGUAUGUUUAAUAAAAUAUUUAGAUAAAAUUGAUGAAUAAUCAUACAACAUCGAAUUAAGCAUAAAUAAUUUUAAAGUCCGUAAACACAAUGUUAUCAAAGUCUGUACACAACAAAUGUUACCAAAGUCUAUACAUGAUUGUAAACAAUCACACCAGAUCUAUACCUAACCAUUGCUUUAUGUUUGCCCUUUCCUACAUAACUCUUCAAACUUACAACCUUUAUCAUCAGUAGCAUGAAUUGGCCAAAAAUUAUAAACCAUAAUCUUAUUUUUCUUUCACAACCACACUUGUUUUUCUUGAAAACAUCAACAAAUGUCAUAUAAUUUGUAAAUAAACAAAGUAAACAGCAAGAUCCAUUGACAAGCUUGUCGAUGACUUUUGAAAUAAACAUUGUAAACAAAAAUCAUAUUUAUGAAUCAUGAUCAUUAAACUUAAAUUCACAACCAAAAAAUAAUCAUUUCACACCAAAAAUAAUGAUCCCAAAUCAUCCCUGAAGCCUUUACCCCACAAUCAUACAUCAUUCUAGUAAACGGAUUGCCCUAUUUCGAACCCAAUUAAGCUCAAAGUUUUUUCAAAUUAAAAAACCAGGGUAAGAAAAACUGAAUCAGACCUUUAGUAGCUUUGAGAAAAUGAGCCAUCGCAGAUGAUGAAUUCUCGGGCAAUCAAGAUGUUGGUUCAUGGAGAAGCAGCGAACCGUUGAACAAUAGAGGAACAGAGAAGUAAAAGAAGCAGGGUCCAUGUAAGAUGAUGCUGAUGGUCGACAACGAAGAAGCAAAAUCAAUGUUGAAGAGAGCUGAUGGUCGUGAAUGGUGAUGAUCAAUAGAGAAGAAGUAUAGAACGGCGAGGGGAGAACAAAGAAAAUAUGGUCAGUAACAAAGAGAUUGAGAGUGAUGAGAGAGACUCGAUGGAUAUCAGGUUAAGGCUCCUUUUGAUAUACUGUAUUUGUGGCGUUGGAGGAGGAAAUCGAUGAGGAGUGGCAGAGAAGUCUAGAGUGGUGAAGGAGAAGGAGAGCGAUGGAGGUGGUUCACAUAGAGUUAAUGAGAAGGAGAAGGACAAACGAGGGAAUAAGCAUGUAUACGAUUCGGUCAACAUCUCUUUUGAGAGGACUCGGUAAGAGCUAUGGGGACCGGGUAAGAGGGUAAAAAGGCCACUAUCAAACGUUCUUACUGGACGAGUAAGAAAUAAUCGCUUACUGGACCAGUAAGACGUAAAUCAAACAGACCCUAAGACCAUCAAAAUCUCUUAUGCGUGAUUAUCGGCUAAAGGCAUAAAAUCAAAGGUAUCCUCGUCUUCUAUGCAAUGUGCCAUCCUUAUUCGUGAGACAUGGAAUAGAUUUGGCCAUUUGGGCCAAAAUAAUAUUAUUGUAUUAUGUAUGUAUGCUAUAUGCUCCUCCGUAAAGUGUUGUCUAGGUCGCCCAUAGCUUACACCAUAACAUCUUAUUUCUGUAAGUACUUAAUUUUAUUUUAAAAAAGGUAGAUGUAGUUACGAAAAUGUUGGUGGUUGUCGAUAUUGUAUGAACAUUUUGAACAUGUGUACGUUCUAACCAACCAUUUAGUUAAUUUUAAUUUGAAACAAAAACUAUUAUAAUUGCAUAAAUACGAAAUGCAUAAUAACAAAAAGUGUAAGAGAUAAUAAUAAUAAUAUAAUAAGUCCCCCGAAAUACACAAAAAAAACAUCGUCCUCAAAAGAAUCCCAACUAAUUUCACUUCAAAAUACAAUGAAUCAAAAUAUAUGAAUAUCGGUCAUAGAUGAUGACUGUAGACGAUUUAGAAAAUAUACAUCUCUCUAGAUCAACGAGUAGACAAGAGCACAUCCGAAAACCAAGCUUCCAACCAUCGAUCCCAUCUUCUCAACUCCACUCUGCAAUUACACGAAUCAUCCCACAAAUUAAUACCACAGAGGUAAUAGCAACACAAUGCAUUUGGGGUACUAAAAUGUUAUAUAAUACAACUCAAAAGUAUAAUGUAAUGUACAAAAACUCAAUAUAUGUAAUAAUUCAUUUACAAAUAAUUAGGGAUGACAAAAACACCAUAACUCAACGCGAAAACCUGAAACUACAACUUUUGAUUUUUUCUAAAAAAAUUUCUCAGGUUUUGGAUGGUUACGAUAUUAAGGUUAUAAUUGAAAUUAUUAAAUAAUUCAAGUUGUUUUUAAAAAGUUUAUGAUUUAGAUUAGUUUAAAUCCCAAAUCCCAAUUUGUUUCACUAAAGCCAAACAAAAAUGAUCAUUAAUAUAUUGCUAUUAUUAAUAGAUAAUAAUAUUAAUAUUAAUACUUUUAUUACUUCAUGGAAGUAAUUAAAAUAUUUACCAGUUGAAUUACAAUCCUUAAUUAAUGGGAUUGAGGUUGAGUGUUGAUCUGAAUGGAUCACGUGACUCCCAUCAUUCACUUUACCUUAAGAAACCAAACCUGCUUCUACUUUUACCUAACUUUACAUACUCUACCCGACCCCAUUAGAUCUACCCUCAGCUUAAUGCUAAAUUAUUCUUGCAUCAGAUCUGUAACAAUAAAAAUGUAAAUGGAGUAAGGUGAGAAGUAAGUACCACGUCAGUAGCUGAUGGUGCCGGAGAUACACCAGUGGUGGUGACGGCCGGAGAAGGUGCUCCAGUAGGUGGUGCUGGUGGGCUCGAAGUUAAGGGAGAUGGUGCAGCCGAUGGAGUCACGACUGGGGAAGAGACUGGGACGGGAGCUGGUGGUGGUGAAGCUGCAGGAGGAGGAGUGGCUGCUGGUGGUGGUGACGCGACAGGAGGGGGAGUGGCUACAGGUGGUGGUGAGGCAACAGGAGGUGGAGUGGCUACAGGUGGUGGUGAGGAUACAGGAGGUGGAGUGGCUACAGGUGGUGGUGAGCUGACUGGCGGAGGAGUGGCAACGGGUGGAGGAGUUGAGACAGGUGGCGAUGCGACGGUUGGUGGUGGNNNNNNNNNNNNNNNNNNNNNNNNNNNUGGUGGAGUGGUGGUGGUUGGGGUGGCGGUGGGGGAGGAGGAAGGUGAUUGAGCGGCGACGGAAGAGAAGAUAAUGCAGAUGAGGGCAGUGAGGAGGGCAGCGUUGCGAUCCAUGAUUGAUUUAAUUUAAGCUUGGAAUUGGAUUUGGAUGAACGACAAGAAGAAUGUGUUAUGUGUGUGAGUGAUGGUGAGAGAGUAAGAGGUGUCUGGUUUAUUAUAUAGCGGACUUGUAUGAGGUAUAUCCGGUGCGGUGGGGUCGUUUGUAUCAUAUGCAUUGAGCCUUCCUAAUAAUCACCCUCCAAUAUCACAAACAUUUAACUCUCUUACUUUAGAAAUGAAGUAUAUUGUUUGUUAUAUCGAAAUGUGUUUUGAUGAAGUAUAAUUACUUAUAAUCGUAAUAUAGUAUAGGUUUUGUGUUAUUUUUAAUGUACAUAUAAUUGUUAAAUUUGUUUGGAUUGUUGGUUAUGUAUGUUUUAGCCGGUGAUAAGUAUAUAAUAUAAACAUUCCAAUAAUAUAUGAACAUAAAAGAGAUUAAAUAUGAACAAAACUUAAACUAUUUUACUGUUAUAAGUCAUUAAUUCUUUCUACAAUAGUUUCAUAUCAUUAGAGAAAUGGUUUGAUCUUUUGAGGAUCGAUCUUGAUGUUUGUUUGAUGAGCCUGGAUGGUAUUACAUAGUUGUUCAGAUAAAUGUUGACUAAGCAAAUGGUCUUUAGCUGGAACUAGGAUGAGCAAUCGUUCCAAACUGAACUGAACCGAAACCAGUUUAGAGUAAUAAUGAGAACCAAUAACUAGCUAGAUUGGUUGGGCUAUACCGGUUUUGAUGCAGGUGCCAAUUUUCGGUUAAAUACCUAGUUGGAAUCGACACAUGUUCUUAUACAGUUGGUAUAACUAGUUAAGGAUUUGAGCCAAAAUGAUUAAAAUAAUAUAAAAUCAACUAGCAAAAAUUAACCCAAUAUAUAAACAAAUAGGGUGUUUAUAUAAUCUAAAAUGAAAACCCAAUGUUGAAAUAACAUAAAUCAACGUGUAACCAAACAAGGUAUUUAUAUAGUCUAAAUUGAAAUACACACAUAAAACUAUGUGUUGAAAAAAUUCAUGACAUUCCCACAUAAAACGAAGAAUUUAUGACCGUUUAAAGAAGAUGAAAGAUUACGUAGGCUCUAGGUCAAAUUGAACCACCUUUCAUACAAUAUAGUCGAAAUACGGUUCAAUGGUAAUAUAGAAGAUGACCGGAGUUGUCACGUCAUAAGGUUGUAAUGUCAACAAUCCAAACAAGUUCAUAAGGAUGUAAUGUGAUCAAUCCAAACAAGUUCAAUGGUAAUAUGUGGAGAAAAAAACUUAAAUGACUAAAUGUGAACAAAACCUAAACUAUGUACCCUAUAUCAAUCGGUCAUAACGAUAUAAUGUGAACAGUUCAAACAGGUUCAAUGGUAAUAUGUGGACAAAAAGUAACUUAAAUGACUAAAUAUGAACACAACUUAAAUUAUGCAUGUUACCCUUAUAAGUUAUUAUCCAUUUCACGAAAGAAACUACACUGUGUCAUUGAAAGGAGAAUAUAUAUAUAUAUAUAUAUANNNNNNNNNNNNNNNNNNNNNNNNNNNNNNNNNNNNNNNNNNNNNNNNNNNNNNNNNNNNNNNNNNNNNNNNNNNNNNNNNNNNNNNNNNNNNNNNNNNNNNNNNNNNNNNNNNNNNNNNNNNNNNNNNNNNNNNNNNNNNNNNNNNNNNNNNNNNNNNNNNNNNNNNNNNNNNNNNNNNNNNNNNNNNNNNNNNNNNNNNNNNNNNNNNNNNNNNNNNNNNNNNNNNNNNNNNNNNNNNNNNNNNNNNNNNNNNNNNNNNNNNNNNNNNNGUUAUUGUCCAAGUUUUGAAAAAUUGAUGUAUCUUGUCAUUAUGUUUUUUUUUUUUUAAAAAACAUAAAGUUUUAUUCUCUUCAAGUACCAUCAACAUUGUUCCGUUAAAUAUAUAUAAAAACAUGUUUUUACCCUUAUAUUGAUCCAUUUUUUUGUUUUUAUUGUUACAAUAUUUAUUUAUUUUUUGUAAGCGUUUUUUAAUGUUUAUGUUAUUUGUAGAUUCAUUUGUUACUACCAUUAGCACCACCAACACGACCACAACCACCACCAAUAACCUCGUUCACCCCCUCCAAUCACCUCACUUUGAGAAUUUUUUGAUUAUCAUACUUUAUUUAUAAACAUGUCAUUUUCUUUGUAAUGUUCAUUUGAACUUACAUUGCGAAAUAAAAAUGGUAAUUCAAGUUGCACAAUAUUUCGACUUUGGCAACAUUUUACUAGAAAAGUAUUUAUUUUCAAUUUCAUUAACAACUUUGAAACGUCCAGAAAAUUACAAAUAGAUUUUGCGUUUUGAAAACAUAUUAACCGAUUAAGACCUUUAACUUAAAAACAAUAAGUGACAUUGAUUUGUUUGAAACCAUAGUGUUAUCAAUGUUGAAUUACAGGAAAGUGGAAAUCAGUAUCUUCGAUGCGUGUAUACAGUUCCGUCGAACUCUUCUCAUGAACAACUUGUAAAACAUAAAAUCCACAGUUGAAAGCAUAAGGUUUAAUGAGUUCCACAGUAUACCACAUAUUUCAUCAUAUAUACAAUGCAUCCACACAAAGUCAUCGGAUCUAAAGUUGACCUACAUGCUUUCCUUACCACAAGCAUACAUCACACAUAACGAGCCGAGCCCAAACAUACAUAACGGGCCCAACUCAAAGAGUAUAAAGGGCCUAGCCCAACGUACAAAAUGGGCCCCACCUACAUACAUAACGGGUCCUGCGCAUAUAACGGGCCCAAACCUAACUCAUAUAAUGAGCCCAACCCAAUGUACACAACAAGUCAAUUCCAGGGGCCAGAUCUCGGUCUUCCAUACAUAAAGGGCCUAGCCCAACUCAUAUAACGAGCCCAACCCAAUGUACACAACAAGUCAAUUCCAGCGUCCAGAUCUCGGUCUUCCAACUCAAAGAGUAUAAAGGGACUAGCCCAACAUACAAAAUGGGCCCCACCUACAUACAUAAUGGGUCCCGCCCAUAUAACGGGCCCAAACCUAACUCAUAUAACGAGCCCAACCCAAUGUACACAACAAGUCAAUUCCAGGGCCAGAUCCCGGUCUUCCAUACAAUACAUAAAAUCGUAUGUGGUCAGAGAUCAGAGAGACAAUAAAAUAGGUGGUCCACCCGAAAAUAAUAAAAUCAAACAAGAACCAUGCAAAUCAAGCUUUAGACAAAGAGUUCUCAGGCUAUCCAAUUUAACCGCCUACAACCAUUACAAGAAUUUCCCUAACCAACCAUGACACCUAAAAACAUCAUAUAGUCCACAAGCAAGACCCUACCAUUCAAGCAUACCAUGAGACUAAAUGUCCUACACUGCUCAAACCAACAUUAUCAUACAAUCAGUAUGCAAGGCCUUACCAGUCUAGCAUACCAUGACACCUAGUAUCCUAAACUAUGUAUGUAUAACAGAGAGUUAUCAUAGUCAACUAGCAUACUCGUACCCUAAUGGUACCUUUACCUAAUCAUGAAAAGGAUAUACAGUGUCUACAAUGUCAUACGUGGCAAGUGAGAAACUCACCUAAACCAAAGAAGCACAAUAACACUCUUACUCAUUGCACUGAUCAGAACUGCAAACCGACUAACACCAAAAACAGAACAAACCUCAGUUAACAACCCAAAUCCUUCAAAUUUGACCCAAGGUCAAACUGGUCAAAAGUCAAUGGUCAACGGUGAUGAGAUUAUGAUUCUCUUAGAUAGAUAGAUUCAAACAGAUAUUCAAGGAUAAUUACAAGAACAGAAAACGAUAAACACAAAUAUGAAUCAAACGUGUGUCGAAUGAUUAAUAUUCUCCACCUCAGAAGAAUUCAAUGUGAAUUGCUAUUGUAGAGGUGUGCUAGGGUUACAAUGCAAGAUCUGUGUAAAUAAUAAUCAAGAAGCAUCUUAAAUAUAAUGCAUGCAUGCACUAUAUAUACUUAAACCCUAAAACAAAACACGGCUGGACAGGCCCAGAUCGAGAGUACUAAUGGACCGAACAUAAAGCCCAAUGACGCAAUCUCUUGGACUCAACAAUCUCCCCUUUUGCGUCAAAUGGGGCGAGAGAUCACUUCGGUUAAGCAAUGGUAGUUUUCUUCAUAGUAUUGAACAGCUUCAGUAUGAGGGCAAGUAGAGUUUGACGAAAGUUGAUAUACCACCGAAGCAUAUCCGAAAACAGCUUCCUGUCUGUGUCACUGUUCUGAUCGCACCUGUAUAUGAUCUCAAGAAUAUGAUCCAAGCAUGAGGUGGAGAACAAAUGUUUGUCAGCAAGAGCGAACAAGAAUUUUUUUACCUUCACCCCUGGUGAACAUGACUGUGUGGAACCGAGGGUCGAUAUUUCCCUUCAACAUCACGUUGAUGUCGCUUGCCUUCCCAAUUUGUUUGAUAAUGGGCUUCUUUCUCAGGGUAGAGGCGAUCUCCUGACCCAUCUUCGCGACUUCAAGAAUAUAGCACACAAGCAUUCACUUGAUAUGAUCAAUGAUAGGCUCAUACUCUUGUUGAUUAGUCAGUAAAAUGUUGUUCAAGAGGAUCUAGUCAUGAGGAUUCAGAUUCGGUAGAUCAACAAAGGAGACCAUAUGGACCGAACUGUCUGAGCCGCGGGUCACUCUAAACUUGAUGUUGAUGAACUUCCCUGCCGAAGUGGGUUUCAACACCUUGACUAUUGUGAUCUUCUGAUUACUCAAAGUCAGGUAUUGCGGUUGAGAGAACGUAAAGUAAUAAUCGAUCAAAUCUCGAUCAACCUUCGGGUCAGGGGAAGGGAUGGCAACAAUUGACUCAAAACAAUGAAAGAUAAAUGCCUUUCGGGUGAUUGGCAUGUCAAACUGAGAAUCCUUAGAAUUUUCAAGAUUGAACGAAAGGACCAGCUCGAGCCAAUGUGUGCUUGGAGAUUCGAUUACCUCCUUCAGAAGUUUUUCCAUCGUCCAUAGAGGGAACAUGGGUUUCCUUCGUUCCAUGGCAUCGUUCACUUCUUUUAGUUUCUUCUCUCUUUAAAUUUCUUCAUUUGCCUUACGAAGCUUUUCCUCAAGCUCGCGUUCAUUUUGAUUGACUUUAAUAUUCAGUUUUAGAGGCUUUUCCUUCCAUUUCGAUCACAUCUUCGAUAUCAACCUCGUCAUCAUCACCAAAUUUCUUCUUUCAUUUUUACUUCAUACUGCCCGAAGCUUCAUUACCCUUCGGUUCAGCAGUGACUUUUGGUUAUGAGAUGGGUUUUCUUGUUGGAGGUUGUUGUGACUGACCCUGGCUAACAAUUUUCUUCUUUCGUUUUUCCUUCAUACUGCCCGAAGCUUCAUUACCCUUCGGUUCAGCAGUGACUUUUGGUUGUGAGAUGGGUUUGCUUGUUGGAGGUUGUUGUGACUGACCGUGAGUAACAUUUUCUCCCCCUUGUUUCGGAGGGACAACAGUCUUCGGAACACCCUGAAUCUUGCUAAGAAUGUCUAGAGCAGGUCUCAACUUCUCAGCCAAGUGACGUUGAAUCGAGAUAGUAAGAACUGAGUCAUGUGCUUCCAGAAGAUGCAGAGGAAUGGAAUGCACAUCACGAACACUGCUCUUGAUGACCGCUUGCUUUGACUUGAGUUCAUCAUUCUAUUUUAGGGCUUGGUUGAGCUUCAGAGCUUGAGUUUUGACUUUGGUGGUCUUGGGAUCCAGUUCAUCCAUGAGUUUGUUCUCCAUGGCUUAAUUGACAUGAAGUUUAUCAAGACACUGAUUGAUUGAAGAUUGAAACUCAGAGUAGUCGGAUUUGAUGGCGUGGCGUGCUUCCUCAAAAUUCUUCUUUUCAUCUUGAAGCGAGUUGGUAAGAGUAGCAACCAAAGCAUUCAACACCUAAGCAUUCUUUUAAGCUGCAGCCUAAAGAGAGUCAAGAAAAACAUGAGCAUCAAAAAUUAGUUUUUUGAUGUUUGCGGUCGUCUGCUUGCAAUCUUUUGUGGAUUCAUCAACUGCAAUAGAAGCUUUCUGGCAGGAAGAGGUAGAAUCGUAUAUAGCUUUAACAUCAUUAGAAAUAGUAGAGUCAUGCUCUUUGAAAAAGGUUGCCAAUAGAGCAUUGAUUGCAGCUUCUGAAUACGCCUAAGUUGGAGUGGAGGAGACAGAAGAGAGCAUAUGAUCAAGCUUGUCAUUCAGAUCUUUUAGAUGCCUCUUCAUGACUGGAUCAUCAUCAUCAUCAUCAUCAUCGCUUUGAACACGAUAUGGGCUAAAAUAAACAAAAUCAAACUCCAUUUCUGCUCUUUCAAGAACAGUGUCAUAUUCGUGUGAGGGAGGUGGGGAUAAAGGUUUUGAAGUAAUUGGUGGUUCAGAUUCUGAAGUAGGUACCCCCGUAUCCGAUACGCUAACACGAACUUGUGGUUGAGUGGUGGUGGUAGUGGUUGUUGUAACUGUUGGAUUAAUGUCUAAGUCCAUAACUAUAUUUGGUAUGUACUUGACCCGACCCGGCAUGGUCCAUUUGGGUUGCACUUCACCGACACAAUUUAUAUGGAUAAUCUUUUGAGAAUAGUAUGUUUAUGAUUAAUAUUAAUAUAUUAUAAGUUCUAAUAUAUUAAUAUGGAAUCAUAUUAUUUAAUUAGUAUUGAUCAAGAAUUAAUUUAGAAUUAAUUAAGUGAUCAAAAUGAACUAAUUAAAUAUGGACUCUUGUAUAUAUGGAAUGGGCCAAGUUCAUUUAGGUUGAGCUAAGCUUUCAUGGAUAGUCCAUGGAGUGUUUAACCCAUGGAUCAUAUGAAAUGAAAGGUCAUGGGUUUAACCCUAUUCUCCAUACUAUAUAAAGAUGUCCUUGGUUGGUGAAAUUGGCACUAGUGUGGAUACACUAAAAAAGGGCUAGCCAAUUUCACUAGAGAGAACCAAGUAAUCAUAUUCUCUAAAGUAUUCCAAGGUGUCUUGGUGAUUUGUGAUUCCACUUGAGGCUUCCACACUAUUGGGGCUAAGCUCUUAAAGCUUGAAGACAUCAAGCUACAUCAAGAGGUAUGUAUUCUAUCUUGUUACAUUCAUAGUUUUUGUAUGCUAGAUUAGGAUAAUACCUUGGAUGUUCUUAUUUGCAUGUAUAAUAGAGAAAACAUAGAUCCAAGGUAUUUAGGGUUGCAUGUACACUUAGGAAGUGUUAGAAUGCUCAAAACCCAACAGUGGUAUCAGAGCCACGGGUUGUUUUCUGUUAUAUUGAUGCAAAUAUUUUAUUUUCAAAGUUGAAAAAAAAAAAAAAAAAAAACAUGAAGUUUGUCAAAUUUUAAGAUAAUUACUUGUUCUUGUGAAAAACUAAUUAUUUGUAAAAUUUGAAUAAUUUGCUUUAUGAGUUGAAUUAGGUCAAAUUUAAUAAAAGAUAAAAUAAUAUGAUUAUUUUAUUAGUUUUAAAAGUUUGAUCUAAAGAGUUUUAUUUUUUGAAACCUCCAUAAGUUAUGGAUAUGAAAAGGUUUUAAAAAAAAAAUUGAUUCAAAGUUUUUUUGGAGUUACAAAAUUUGGUGUUAAUGUUUUAAAGGAUUCCAUAACUUAAGAAUAAGUUAUGGAUCACCAAAAGUUUUUUGUGUUACCUUGUUUUAUGAGUGAAUUUAGAUUAAUGAAUAAAAUUAUGUGAUAGUUGGUUUUAAUCCAAAUUAAUCUAAGAAUUGAUUCUAAAAUGUGUUUUUGUAACUUGUCCUCAAGUUAUAUGAAAAGUCACAUUUAAGAAUCAUAAAACUCAUAAAAAUUGGCAAAGGUUACAAAAAUGAAGAGUCUAGUUCUAAUUAAAUGGUUUUAUGACUCCAUAACUUGUCCUCAAGUUAUGGAGGACCAAGAGUCUCUUCAUUUAAUAAAAUAAAAUAAAAAAAAAAAAAGUGUAACCUUAAUUAAUUCCAUAAGUUAUAAAAUAAAGAAAAGUUAAUUCUUUUAUUAGUUUAAAGUCUUCCAUAACUUGUCCUCAAGUUAUGGAACUUGAAGAGUUUUUGGAUUAAAACUACUUUAAACACAUAAGUUAUGGAAUUAAUUAGUUUUGAAUAGUUUCAAAACUUGCCCUCAAGUUUUGGAAUUUGUAAAGUUUUCACUUAUGAAUACUUUAAUUCCAAGUUAGCCCUUAGAAUUUUAAAAGUUAAAAUUCAACCCUUAUACUUUAUAAUAUUAUAAGUUAAUAAUAUAUAUAUGUAUAAGAGUAAAGUCAGUCUUACCGCUAGUACGCCUCAUUCACGAAGCCGGUCUAUAAGGUGGGUAUAAGGUUGUUGCCUAUAAAAUGGCAACUUAAUGGGUGUCCACUCUCACCCACCGCUUGCUUGACUGGUGGAGGGUCGUUAGCCGAACGGGUUUGACAGGACUAGAAUUCUCCCUUCAUUAAAAGUAUUAAUGAUAAUACUAAGUAACUAAACUCUUAAUAAUACCCAAUCUUAGUUACUUAGGAAAAAUGUGAAUAAGGUGCUAAUCCAUGAAAUUACACUUUACACUUUGUCUAAGUCGUUAGUGGAGCGUGUGUGGUUAACCGGCACACUAACUUGGACUUAACAAGGUAGGUAAAGGGUGACUUAAUAUUUAUCAUAGUAUCGAUGGAGCGUGUGUGGUUAACCGGCACAUCGAUUGAGGGGUAAUUUAUUAAGGGUACCAAGUGAUUUGCAUGGUUACUUCACACCUUGUUUUGUGAUCCUCGGCAUCCCAGUCACAAAACCUGAAGGGCACACUCGAGAUUGAAACAUGCCUUUGAAAAGUUCAAUGAAUCUCAAAGAUCUAGGAGUUUCAAAACCAAUUAAAACCUAAUAAUACAUUUCGUUUAUCUUGGUGGAAAUUGGUGAAUCGUCAUUCACCUACCUUCAAAUAUUUUAUAGCUUGGAUUACGGCAUACCUCUUCUAAGUUAUAAAAUAGUUUGUUGGGUCCUAGCCUUAAUAUUUCAUAUUGGGUGUCAUAUUAAGGACUUUAAAUCAACUAUCUUGAAUAUCUCCCAAAAGAUGUCUGGUUUAGACACCUAUGAUCUUCCCAAAUCUCUUGAAACAAGGUUUCCUAAUGAAGAUGAUGUCCCAUGGAUAUCAUACUUCUUCACCUCUUCAAAUUAUUCUCCCUAACCCACAAGUUCUUGAAAAGUUUAAGGUCACUCAGGCCCUUUUGGCAAGGCAAGGUCUAGGUGUGGUCACAUCUUGGAGAUGUAGUCACAUAUUGACAAGCCGGGAGAGUUGGGUGUCAAAGUCUUGAGAAAGUUGGUGGUUCAACUACUUUCUAAGUCACAUAGUGAGUUCUUUUGGAACACCUAUGAAAAAGACUAUGACAAGACCCUUAAUGAUCUUAUCUAUUUGUUAAGAUCAACUUCCUAAAACUUUAUGGACAUUGACAAUGAUGACAUUGGAUAUCCAGUAAAGCAUUCUCUUCCCAAUGGAAAGGGAUCGGCUAUAGUCAACUCGGUUGACCAAAUGGUAAAGAGAAAAGCUAAGUCUGUGAUAGUCCUGUGUACCAUUAUCAAAGGGUCCAUAUGUUUGUAUUGCCAAAGAAAGGGCAUUGGUUGCGAAGCUGCCAAAUUUACCUAAGGAUGUUAAAGUCAAUAAGUUUGACUCUACUUCAGGUAAAAUCCACUAUCUAACUCUGUUAAGUUUCUAUUCUGAGAUUCUUGAUACAUGAUGUGACCGGGUCGCAUGGUGAUGGUUUAAGAAUCAAAGGAAAGUGAAGAAACUUAAAGGAAGAAUAUGCUGAAUCUGAUCGCAUAGAUGGAUUUCUAUCGCAUAGUUUGAAAAAUCGGAUUCUUGAGCUACUUCUUAGGAGUUAUGAGAUAUUGCUUAGGAAUAGAUAACAACAAGUUUUCAUAUGGAUUGUAAGGAUAGUUUUUCCGCAAAGUUUUAAAAUAAAAGGAAAUUUUUGAUUUUAUUUAUUUUAAAAUAUCCUUACAAUGGCAUCUGUGGAAAUUUUUGUUGCUUAUAAGAUUCCAUUAGUAGCAAGAGUGGAAGUAUGAAAUUGAUUCUUUCAUUUGUGGUAAUGUCUAAAUUUACCAAAUAAGGAAAGAUUCUCAUCACCCAAGUUUCAAUUGGACCGGAACUUGGAAUCAUGCAAGUUGUAUAGCAUGAUGAAUGAGAACUUUCAAGUUUUGGAAAAUUAAGACUAAUUACUUGUUCACAUGGAUGUGUGAGUCAAGUAAAGGACUUAGGGAUCGAGUACACAUUCUUGUGCACUGAUUAAGUCCACCACUAAAGAUCGAUAAGAAGAAUCAAAUAAGGCAGAAGGAUAAAAGUUUCUCAAAUCUGAAAAGAUGGGAGAGUACUUUAGUAUCAGUUUUGUGAUCAUCUUAAUGAUUAAGAAACCAUAUCAAAAUUAGUUCUCUAAGGAAAUCUUAGUGCAUUCUUAUGACUAAGAAGAGGAACUUGAAUUGUUGAAAUGGUUAAAUCAAGAAGAUGAGUCAUACUUCGUUCCAAUACAAGUCUUAGAGUCAUACUCCAAGAUUGUCAUUUGAGUGACAUGUCUUAAAGAAGGUUUAAAACACUUGUCAAAUGUAAGAGUAAAAGUUUUCUACUCUUGUACAUUUGAAAUUGGUAAGUUGUGAUGUUUUGGAUAAAACAAAGACCAACUUAGGCCAAUUGGGUAAAGUGUUUUUCUUGAUUAGAAUCCGCACUAUCUCUUGGAUGUUUGACAAGGGAGUCUUAUAUGUCAAGAGGACAGUGGGAGUCUUAAAGGUCUUGAAAGUCUCAAGAACUAAUCAAGAAUAAAACCUGAAGUUCUUCACUAGCACACGACUUGAGGUUUAUAACCUAUCGUGUUGACAUAUUCUGUGCCCAUUCCAGUUAAAGUUGGCUUUGCAUAUGAGUUCUUAGAGUUCUCAAUUGGUUGCAUAACAACUUGGAAGCAAUGGUAGGCCCUUGAGCUGCCAGGUGGCAAGAAAUUAAGAUUGAGUUCAGUCCAUAUGAGUUUGGAUUUGUCAUUAUCCUUGUCUUGUGACUAUGAUUUUGACAAUUCACAUGGAUAAGAACACAUACACCAUUAAAUCUAAGUGUCAUAAGGUUUCUCUCCGAUUCAUGAAAAUGAUGGUGAGGAAACACUUUCACUAAGUAGAUUUUAGCUAGAUAGCAAUUGUGAUAUUUGCAUUCUCAAAGUCGUUAGUGGAGCGCGUGUGGUUAACCGGCACACUAAUUUGGACUUGUGAGAAGUGGCAAAAAGGUCUAAACAUUAUGAUUACGGCAUCCCUCUUCAUAAUUGUUUAGAUACACAAGUGUGCUAUCUAAGGGAAGGUGUAUGAUUUUGAUAAAGUUUUAUCAAAACAAUCUAGUAUCAGAAAUCUGAACUUUGGUAAGAAAGUCAAUGAAGUAUUGAUUUCUAGAAGUCCAGCUGAUUUCUGAGUACAUGUCAAAGCUAGUGGGAGCAUAAGUGUUAUGCUAAUAAUCAUCAUGUUAGUGGGAGCAUGAUAAUUAUGAUAAGUAUUGCAAGUUAGCAAUGUUAAUUAUAGAAAACAAAAGUUUCAAUUGGGAAAAAGUUGUUUUGCUAUAAUUAAGGGAGAGGAAAUUAUACUUCAUCUCAAAUCUAUAAGCUUAGAUCGUGAGGUUUUAAUCAUUUAGUCAAGGAUAUAUAUGAAUUUCAUGUUGGAAUGGCUCAACAUAAGGAAAUUCUGUAUAUGGGUCCAUUAUUUGCGUUCUAAAAUUCGAUUAUGAUUACGGCAUCCCUUUUCAUAAUCUGAAUUAUGAGAACUUGGCAAAUUGAAAUGGAAAUGUUAUAGCAAAAGACUGGUUUAGUCUUUAUGUGAGACAUCAUGAAUCGUGUCCCAUAUGCUUCGGAUAUAGGAUCGAUUACAUGUGCUAUAUUCAUCCGUUCUAAAAUUUUCCAAAUGCCUGGGGCAUUAAGAAGGGAAAAGGUUUAGAACUGGAUAUGACUAAAAGGAUUAAACAAUUGUCGAGGACAAUCUAAGGUUUACCAAAGAUUGGUUGCUCAAGGACAGUUGGAAGUAUAGUGAUAAUUCUGGAAGGACCAUAUUGACAUAAUCUGUAAGGAGGCAACUCUUGUUCAGAAGUGAUAGUCAAAAUGGAAUCUGGAAAUGUUUCAAAGUUAGAAUUUUCAAUCUGUUUAAGAUUAGGAAACUUAAUGCAAGAAGGAUGUUUCCAAGGAGCUGAUCUCCUUUGGAAUACUCUGUAAUGUUUGUUGUCAAGUCUUUAUGACUUUGUGCAUAAUCAUUACAAGAGGAUCAAUGCAUAUAAGUUUAGAAUCUAACAGAUUUCAGUAAAUGGCAUGAAUUUGGAAUUCUUGCAUUUGCAGUAAGGAUUUGGGAGUGUGAAAAGAGAAUCAUUGAAGUUAUGUUCAAUUGAUCUAGUUCACAAAGUAAAGAUCAUAGACAAACAUAGUAUGCAUACUUGGUGUGUGGCAUGACUAGUGUUUAAGAAAACAUAGUGUACAUGCUUGGAGCAUGGGACAACUAUUGUUUUAAAUUCAAGAAUAAAGUUGAUAGCUGAAACAGUAUACAAUGAAUAAUGUGUAAUCAUAUGGUGAUAAAUAAAAGGUGUUUUAUUUAUGUUCAAAGAUUUGAUACCAUAUUGGAUUCAAUUAUUAUUGUGUUUCACUUUGCAUGUUUUGACUUCCCGAAUAAACUAGGUUAUUCUUCCGGAAUGACUAAGUUAUUCAAACCAUCCACAGUCGGUCAUAUGUUGGAAGUAGAUAUGAAUUAAGACUGUCAUGGGUUGGCUUGUAGAGGUCUAAGGUGUUGGACAAAGGGCUACAACACUCAUGAGUGCUCAUAAGUUCUGAGUAUUGGAUUCAACCCGCGCUCAUUGGAAUCACUUCAUGGAUUUUAUCACGAGUGAUCAUGAGACGAUAAUAUCUUAUAUUCUUCAAACCUAGAGAUAUGAGUUGUUACUAUGAGUUGAUAGUACAUUGAUUGCACGAAAACGCAUACGGUAACUCGGUGCUAUAAAACGUGCCUUUGUGUAUGAUUCAACAAGUAGUAGAACAAGCCAUAUGAGUCGAAGUUUAUCCGUUCCUUUUACCUUCGGGAUAAAAGCGAUAUCUGUGGGCCCCUCGAUGAUUUGAUGAUGACAAAUGGAAGUGCUCGGCCGGGCCAGGACUGAUUUGAUUUGUUCAAUUAGUCAGUCGUCAUAAAUCGGAAAUCGGGAAACAACAAAUGGACAGAGAGAAUGAUUAUAAUCCAUGUCUCAGUCCAUAUGAUAUCUAGAAUGGAGGAAUAUAUGAUCCCUUAUCUAAUGGACAAGUUCGUCUACAAGAUCAGAGUUCGACAGCGGCUUUAAGAGCUACGAUUGCCAGUUAGGUUUGAAGUCAUACGCAAUAAUAGUUUUAGACUUAUCCAAGUGGGAGACUGUUGGAUUAAUGUCUAAGUCCAUAACUAUAUUUGGUAUGUACUUGACCCGACCCGGCAUGGUCCAUUUGGGUUGCACUUCACCGACACAAUUUAUAUGGAUAAUCUUUUGAGAAUAGUAUGUUUAUGAUUAAUAUUAAUAUAUUAUAAGUUCUAAUAUAUUAAUAUGGAAUCAUAUUAUUUAAUUAGUAUUGAUCAAGAAUUAAUUUAGAAUUAAUUAAGUGAUCAAAAUGAACUAAUUAAAUAUGGACUCUUGUAUAUAUGGAAUGGGCCAAGUUCAUUUAGGUUGAGCUAAGCUUUCAUGGAUAGUCCAUGGAGUGUUUAACCCAUGGAUCAUAUGAAAUGAAAGGUCAUGGGUUUAACCCUAUUCUCCAUACUAUAUAAAGAUGUCCUUGGUUGGUGAAAUUGGCACUAGUGUGGAUACACUAAAAAAGGGCUAGCCAAUUUCACUAGAGAGAACCAAGUAAUCAUAUUCUCUAAAGUAUUCCAAGGUGUCUCGGUGAUUUGUGAUUCCACUUGAGGCUUCCACACUAUUGGGGCUAAGCUCUUAAAGCUUGAAGACAUCAAGCUACAUCAAGAGGUAUGUAUUCUAUCUUGUUACAUUCAUAGUUUUUGUAUGCUAGAUUAGGAUAAUACCUUGGAUGUUCUUAUUUGCAUGUAUAAUAGAGAAAGCAUAGAUCCAAGGUAUUUAGGGUUGCAUGUUCACUUAGGAAGUGUUAGAAUGCUCAAAACCCAACAGUAACAUCAAUGAAUAAAGGAGUGGGAAUUGGAAUUGAGGUUGUAGUGGUUGUAGAAAUGGGUGGAGGACAUGAAACAGUAGUAUUUGGAACUGAUUGGGUAAGAGAAAGAGGAGGUGAGUUUCGGUAACCUUCAUGAUCUGGUGAGGGAGGAUGUGAAUUACCUCUAAGUCAUCCUUCGUGUUAAGAGACAUCAUCAUCACCAGAUUCGGGUUCAGGCUGUGGAUCAGAUGGAACAUAGUCCGAGUCACUCGAUGAAGGAGCCUUUGGUUUGUAGGCCUUCUACUUAGUCUUUCGUUUCUUUGGAGCCGAAGGAGCAGCUUGCUCAGGCUUUCGCUUCUUGGGAGUUGAAACUUUAGAGGAUUGACCUUCCUUUUCCCCUUUCUUUUCAGGCUUCUUCCCUUAUUUCGCUGGUUUGUCUGCUGCGUCCAGCGAACUUUGCAUUUUAGGAUUAAGUUGCCUUGGUCCUGAAGGGGGGAGAUCCUUGUACUCAUUCAUCAGUUUGCUUUCAGCGGACACACAACGAUACAUUGGUUCCGAAACAGAACUAAUAAAUAUGAACUUUGAUGGAUCAGAAAUGAUUAUCUUCGUCGUGUGAAAGAUAGCAAUUGAUGGCAUUAAGGAAUCAACCAUUGUUGGAACUUGAAAUUUCUCCAUCGCCCAGUGAGUGACUAGAGUCCAAAACCUAGCACAAGAGAUUUCAGAGUAGUGAGAAGCAGAACUGAGAUUUUGAACCAGUUGCGACCAUAAGAUGGAUCGAAUGUCCAUGUUAACCCCAUGGUACAGACCAUAAAGAAGGGUCAUCAACGCCUUGCUUGCCCCAUCUGAACCAGCAACCCUCUUCGAAAAGCCUUUGAAGAGGAGGGUAAAAAUUCCAUUCCACUGAGGAGGAAGGAACGACUUCUUGAAGUUUGUAACAGUGGUGAGAACCUCAGUAUACCCCAUAUCAUAAAACAUUGAGAAGAGUUGAGUAGUAGAAACGGUAACAAGGUUGAUCAUGGAAUCGUCGAUAGCCAUCCUUAGUAACAAGCAGAAUCGAGUUUUGUAAAUCGGCGCUUUGUGAUUGAAGAUCCCAAAGAAGAUCCUCUCCUUGACCUUGUCAUAGACAACAGUUGAGUAGACUUGAGAAAGUAACGACAUUGGAACGUACUCCACCUUGGUUAGUGCAACAACAAGUGGUGAAUAUUUGAGGCAUUCAACCACUUGCAGCAUAUAUGGAUCACACUGGAACGGUGAUAGAUCAAUGAUGAGGUUCUGAUUUGGUUUGAUUGUGAGAAGAGAUGACUGGGCACUUUGUUCAUGAACUGAACAGGAAUCCGCCAUUGAUGAUUCUUGAAGAAAAAGAUGAGCAAUAGAGAGAGAAUACGUCGUAUAGCUCUUGAGAGGAUUUGGAAGUGAUAAGAGUAUAAACGGAAAUUGAGAAAUCGCUUUAUACCAUUACCAUGUGAGAGAAAAAUCUAGAGUGAUGGGUGCACAAUCCGCUGAUGUAUCGCCUGAAAAAGCGCGAUUUGACAAUUGUUGCCCCGAAAAGUGUGUCAGGAGGAGUGAGAAUGGAAACGAUUCAAUUUCAUGCGCCUUUAAAACCUUAUCCUUUCAUCUUUUCUUUAAAUUUUGAAAUGAUCCAAAUUCCCUAUGAGAUGUCGAUUCAUCCUUUCGCUUCAUAUAUAUUUACUCUUCGCUCUUAAUAGAGUGUAUGACCACAACAAAUUGAACCAAGCGCUGUAUUUGAGAAUUACCAGUUUGUACCACGAUCAAGACUUGUGAAAAAUGAUAAAGAUCUUCAUGCAAGAGUGUGCCAAUCGAAAAGAUAUAGAGAAAAUUAUUUUUGGGAUUUAAGUGAUGUCUAUAUAGACAUGAAACUAUGGAUCCCGUGCACGAAUCGCUUCCUUCAAAGUCAAGAGAGACUUAGAAGUGUCUGUGUGGUUUCCCGUUGAUAUAUGAUCAAAUGCUUAUUAAGAAACAUUUAAAGGCAUAUUUUCAAAUCUAAGCUAUAAUGGGUGGCUUCGCUUCAACCAAACUUCAGUACUUAACAGAAGACCGAAAGUUGGAUGAAGUACCUGUGAGACCAGUGUGGCCUGUUGAAUAAGUAUGUGAGAUAAUAUAUUCAGUGACUCAGUGAGAGUGAUGUUGAAAUCUUAAAAAAAUAAUAAUAAUAAAAACUGGAUCUUUUGGGAAGAAAAAUCAUGGUGUUAGACAAUUCAAAAAGAUCUCACAAAAAUAAAAAGAUUUUAAAGUAUAGACCGUCAAUUCGUUUAAGGCAUUGGUUUUCGAGUCUCACUUAGCACGUGGUGAAACGAAACUAAGAUCAUCAACACAGAUGUUGUGUAACCAUAAACCUCAGUGGUAGAUGCUGAGAGUCUCAAGGGUUACGAUUAUGAACCGAAAUGAGAUGAAGAAAUAAGAGUGCUUGGUUAAAGAACCAUAAGUAUCACUGCUAUUUAAAAGGGACCAAGAAGAUAACUUUUAACUUAAUGUGGGAAGAGUAAGGUAGCUCAUGAAUUCAGUGAUUUUAUCAGCCUAAUUGGGAAGAAGUGAUUGCUAUAUAUCGAAUCAGUAAGGCUUCACUCAAAGUCUUGGAGGCUUUGGUCGACAUGCAGCAACAUGCUUCUAGAGACACUUAGCUAGUAUAUAGAUAAAGAAUGUUAUACCUUCCCCAGUCUUCAUCACAAAAAGAAAAUAUUUUUGGAUUUUAUAAAAUCUUUCUGAAAAAUAAAUAAAAACAGAAAAGAAAAUAUUUUUGAUUUUUGUGAAUUUUCUGAAAAAGAAAUAAAAACAUAAAAGAAAAUAUUUUUGAGUUUUGUAACUGAAUUGAAGGCAUAAAGUAAAGUAAUCAAAAGAUAUACAAAGUAUACAAAAGAUAUGUAAGAUCCAAACCAUAAGAUGUAACAAUCGCUCUUUUUGAAAAAAUAUAAAAGGCAAAAUAGACCGAGCCUUCGGUUCAUUUCGGUUCCACAAAAAUUAGGAGCCGGAAUAGACCGAGCGUUCGGCUCAUAUCGGUUGUUAGAGAAUUUUUAUGAAAGCGAAAGCGAAAGUUAUACUUAAUGAAAUGAUUGUGGUUUUGGAACUGAUUCAGCUUCCAUCAUUUCUAAGCCUUGUAGUAUUUUAUUAAACGAUGCUUCAGGAAAGGCCUUAGUAAAGAUGUCAGCCAAUUGAUCAGAGGACCGAACGAAGUGAAUUUCAAAAUUCCCAUCUUCUACAUGAUCCUUGAUGAAUUGAUAUCGCAGUGCUAUGUGUUUCGUCUUGGAAUGCUGCACUGGAUUAUGACAGAUUUUGAUGGCGCUUUCAGACUCGCAAUAAAGAGGAAUCUUCUUCAUAUUUAGGCCAUAAUCUCUUAAUUGACUUUGGGUCCAAAUGACCUGGGAAGUGCAAGAUGCUGCAACAAUAUAUUCAGCUUCGACUAUGGAUAGUGAAACACAUGUUUUUUUCUUGGACUGCCAGCUAACAAGUUUACAAUCUAGUAAUUGACAUCCCCCUGUAGUGUUAUUUCGGUCCAAACCGCAUCCUCCAAGAUCGGCAUCAGAGAAUGCUUGUACGAAAAAUCCCAAUUUAGCAGGAUACCAUAGACCGAUAAAAGUGGUUCGCUUCAAAUAUCUGAAGAUGUUCUUAACAGCCACCAUAUGAGGUUCGCGUGGAUUAGCCUGGAACCUAGCAUAGUAACAAACAGAAAACAUAAUGUCUGGUCUACUAGCUGUUAGAUACAUUAGAGAACCUAUAAUUCGCCGAUAGAGAGUCAUACCAAUAGCCGGUUUCUCCAAAGAUGGUGUUAACUUCGUUCCAAAUGUCAUAGGAACCUUUACUUUGGAAUCUCCCAUCAUGCCAAACUUUGCUAGCAGUGUCUUCGUGUAGGCCUCCUGAUUAAUAAAUAUGCCUUCAGGUCCCUGUCUAAUAUUCAAGCCAAGGAAAAAGUUAAUUGGACCUGUUGAACUCAUCUCAAACUUAGUCUCCAUCAACUUCCUGAAUUCAGCUGUUAGACUGGGAUUUGCGGAACCGAAGAUGAUGUCAUCAAUGUAAAUUUGGACGAUCAUUAAGUGGUCACCCUCUUUCUUGUGAAAGAAGGUUGGGUCAACCGAACCUUGUUUAAACUUGGACAUUUUUAGAAAUCAAGUAAGGGUUUCAUACCAGGCUCUAGGAGCUUGCUUUAACCCAUAGAUGACUUUAUCCAGAAUAUAGUAGUGACCAGGAUACAUUUCAUUCAAGAAACCUGGUGGUUGCUCAACAUACACAGUUUCCUCUAAUUCUCCAUUCAGGAAUGCACACUUGAUUCGCACUGAUUCUAACCUUGCUACAGGGGCGAAGGUUUCUUCAUAGUCUAUACCUUCUUCCUGACAGUAUCCCUUUACAACCAACCUUGCUUUAUUACGAAUCACAUUCCCUUCUUUGUCCAUUUUGUUUUUGAAAACCCAUUUUAAUCCAACUACGGAUGCGCCCUUUGGUGUGGGAAUUAAUCUCCAAAAUCGAUUUUGCUCAAACUCAUGGAGUUCGUCUUGCAUUUCCUGUACCCAAUCUGAGUGAUCGAGUGUAAUAUUAACCGUUUCGGUUCUAUUUUUGAGAAGAAUGAGUUAAACAUGCAAAAUUCUACUUGAGAGAACAGAGCAGUUUGCUUCACUUUAAUAUGAGACUGAGUGAGGACUCCCUCAGAUGAUUCACCAAUUACUUGAGUUUUUGGAUGAUCUCCUGUCCAUUUUGUGAGAGGAGGGUAGUUUGGAUCAUAGGUGGGAUUCAAUUCGGCAUUGAUUUCCUUGUCCAAUUCUAAUUGAAAAUCUGAAUCAUCAUUCGUAUUAUGAUUCUCCCCCUCGAAUGAUGAGACGAUUUCAACAUCAGGAUCAGAAUGAUCCCCCUCGAAUAGGACGUCAUGAGUCUUUGCUUGUGAUGGAUUUUAUCCCUAGAAAGACGAAUCAGGGUUAUCUGGUGUGGAUGAACCCUCCCCCUGGAAUAUAGAGCUUUCUUUUGGAGGUUCGCUUGGACCUGGCUGUUCGGUUGGUCUUUUAUGUUCACUUUCCAUUUCUCUUGUUGCUUCAUCGAUAAUAUUCUUCAAGUUGUCAAUCUUGUUGUCAGCUGCCUUUGUCUCAGAAUUAAUUUCUCUCUCUGGUUCGUUAAAGAGCAACAUGUAUUCUUUAAAUGGAUUGGAAAUUGGGACCUAGACUUGACCAGAUGCUGGAAAGAUUUCCUCUGUUGGUCCUUUACUUGACUGAAGUUUCUUCACAUAAUCAUCAUCAAAAGUGACAUAAUAGGUUUCUUCAAUUUUCUUUGAAUGCUUAUUCAGAACCUUAUAAGCCUUUGAAGUUAGUGAGUAACCAAGAAAAAUCCCUUCAUCUGCCUUUACAUUGAACUUGUUUUGGUUCUCUUUGGAAUUGAAAAUAAAGCACCUUGAAUCGAACACAUGGAAGAAUUUGACGUUUGGCUUGGGAUUAUUCAAGAUUUCGUAUGGAGUGAUGGAAAAGCGCUUAUUGAGGAAGGAUCAGUUUUGGGUAUAGCAGGCAAUAGCUAUUGCAUCAGCCCAAAAGUACAAAGGUAAGGAAGUGAAGCUAAGCAUGGUUCGGGCUGCUUCACACAAAGAGCGGUUUCACCUUUCAACUAUGUCGUUCUGUUGUGGAGUGUAGGGAGCUGAGAAAUUGUGAGAUACUCCCUUAUCAACAAGAAAUUCUUCGAACUCUUGAUUUUUAAAUUCCAACCCGUUGUCACUUCGGACGUUUCUAACCACCUUUUGCAGUUGAAGUUCCACUUGCUUUAUAAAUACUUUAAGCUUUUGAGUCGCCUCUGAUUUCGGUUUAAGAAAGAAAACCCAAGUGAAACGUGAAAAGUCAUCAAUAAUUACCAAAAUAUACUUACUACCACACAUGUUUUCGAUCGCUUAAGUACCACACAAGUCGACGUGUAGAAGUUCAAGUGGUUCAACGAUCUUUGUGUUAACACGUGUGGGAUGACUCUUUCAGCUUUUCUUUCCCAUUUCUCAUGCAACGCACACGUGUUCCUUAUCAAAUUUGAGAGGGGAAGUCCUCGUACAUGAUCACCGAUAACCAACUUGUUGAUAUCCUUAAAGUUGAGAUGUGAGAGCCUUCGGUGCCAGAGCCAAUUUUCAUCAGAGUGUGAUUUUGAAAAAAGGCAUACAACUGGCUUUCCUCGAAUUGGGUUAUGAUUUAGAGGAUACAUCUCUCAUUUUCUCUUGGAUUUUAACAGGAUAGUCUUCGUCUUCUUUUCAACAAUCUCAGAACCUUCAUCAUCGAAUGAAACUUUCAAGACAGUUCCUACGACCAGUUGAGAGACGCUUAUGAGAUUGUGUUGUUAUCCCUCUACAUAUGCUACCUUUCAGAAUGAGAAUUCUCCGUUUGUAAUCAUUCCUUAGCCUUUGAUUGUGCUAUAUGAAUUAUUCCUGUAUUUGACACAUCCACCAUCCUUAAGGGACCGAAACUCCCUUAGCUCUCCCUUCCUUCCUGUCAUGUGACGUGAGUAACCACAAUCAAUGUAUCAUUCGUCGUCGAACUGCUCGUCACUAAUAACUUGCAAAAUUUAAGCAGAUUUAGGAACCCAAAGUUUCUUGGGUCCUCGUGAUCCUUUUACAGGACAAGGAAUGGCAGCAAAAAGAUCAACCAAAUAUGUUCUUUUUAUUAACGUGGUUUCAUCUUUUCUUUUGAUGGUAAAAACUUUGAUUUUGUUGUUUUCUUGUUUCGGUAUAUCUAAAGCCGACUAAUUAUUUUUGCUUUGAUUCUCAUUUAAACUUUUCUUUUGAUUCCUAGGGUUAGCUAACGUCUUCUUGGCAUGAACUUCAGGGUGCAAGACUAGCUUUCCCUUUCCUUUGAUAUCCUUAACUGGGUUCAACUUCGGUUGUUGAUUGACUUUAGGAGUGAAGCUAGUCUUUUGGUUCUUAUUACUGCUCGAUUCAACACCGAAACCAUUUCUUCAGUUUGUUUGGCUGCAAGACUGAUACUGAGUACAUGGACCUUUAUUUGUCUGAGGGCUUACUUUCGUCUGUGGAUUCGAUACCUUGUGAAUGUGAUUAGCAUUUUGAGAAUUACAAAACUGUUUUCUCUCUUUGAGAUUCUUCUGGUACCUUCUGUUCCUUUGAUGUGUUUGCUCAGCAAGUUGUUUUUGAGAUAUGUGAAUUUUUGUAUUUGGUUUCGGUUCUUCUUUACGAGCUUUGCUUGGAGAUGAUUCUAUAGAUGCCUUUUCCGGAUCGUCUUGAAUUUCUUUAGUACCUCUUGUACUUGGCUUAUCAAAGCUUGAAGGCUUGUUGAGAGGUUCAGCCACAUAUCUACCCUUGACUCUCCACGAGGUUUGUUCCGACAGACCUACUGUUUCACAUCCAUCAGCAUUUUCUUCAUCUACCAAAGAAGUUAGCUCAACUGUUUGCUUUUUGGUAACUCUAGUGGUGGCAUAUACUUGAUUCGGUACCGUUUGCACCUUUUUGUAUACCACUGCCUUUUCUUUAAGGACUUUGGACUUGUCCUUGGACAUACGAGCGAAAGCAAUCGAGUUUUCAGAUAUGAGAGGUUUUGCCGGUUUGGGUUCGCUUUUUAGGAAUUCAGAGCAGUCAACCUCAUCACAUUCAAAAUUUUCAGUCAUAUAACUGUCCUCAUCAAAUUCAGAAGUAGUUUCCACAUUCAUCUUAUUUCUGAACUUAAUUUGGUAAUCAAUGAGUCAAAUUUUUGCAUGGUUUCGGUCUUUAUUUUUAAUUUGUCAUUUUCGUCCAAUAGAUUCCUAAGCAUGUCCUUAUGGUAUUUGGACUUUAUAAAGGACUCAAUUUUGUCUAGACCAAUCCUGUAAGCAUCCGAAACCUCAUCUGAUGAGACAAUAAAUUCACAAUUGUAGCAAUCUACAUCAACUUCAUCCUCCUUAAAUUCAAGAAAUGGCAAAAUCAUUUUGUGAACCUUUUUGCCAAUAUCACAAUUCAAAUGUAACUGAGUAAUAUUAGUGUAAAGACGUUUAGCUAUUAAACAAAAAACAUUCCGUUGUUUUAAAAACUUCAAAUUGUCACGUUGUAAAUAAAUUAACUCAUCUCUCAUUCUAACUAAAUCUAACUCCGUCUUCUCGAUCCUCAUCCUUCGCUCCUCACUCUUGGAUGUCACCCUACUAAGUCGAUCGUUUAAGUUAGCAUUUGUGAGGCGUGUUUGCAUUAAACUUCCACUUAAAUUAGAAAUUUUGAAUUUUAAUUCGUUUAAUUCCUUUUCAUAGGUUGUUACAGGUAUUUUAGGUGAUUCUAGAAUGGAUUGUACCUUCUUGAUCAACUGAUUGCAGUCAUUGAUCCUUUCACUCACAAGCUUGGCUGCAAAACACUUGUCUUCAUUUUGAUUCGCCUCAUCAUGCUCACCUUCGGUUGUGUAUCCCCUCAUCUAUGACACUCCAGCUGUCACCAUCAAGCAUCUCCCAGCGAACUCAUCACUACCUUCUUUUGCCACAAAAGCCCUGCCACGUGUGGGUUUACGUACCUAUUCAUCUUCAGAGUCUAUAGACUAGACCUCCAUGCUACCGAACUCAUCAUCAACAACAUUCUCCUGCACAAUCAAAGCAUUCAUAGAAUUGUUAGUAGCUUUCUUCUUCUUUAUCUCCCCCAGCUUGCGCAUAUGAUAUGCUUCAUCAUCUUCACCCUCCUUCUUCUCUGACACCUUUCUUAACAUGCAAUCUUUGGCAAAAUGGUCUUUGCCAUGCCAGAAGUUGCAAUCGUAUCCUGAGUCUCCCACCAGUUUGCUCUCCUUCUUCUGUUCUUCUUUCGGAGGAUUACUUUUUUUAUCCUCUUUUGCCUUUUCUGAGUUGUAGCUUCCUUGCCAGUUUCGGUUCUUGGCAACAGGGAACUUUUUGCGAGCUAACCGUUUCGGGUUGGAAACCAUCAUUGCAUACUCUUCGCUUGUCAGAUCACAUUCUGAAAUUUCAGACUCUUCUUCAUCUUCUGCCACAUUCUUCGCCUUAGAGAGAAGGGCCAAGGGCCCCAUACCAGACACCACUUUCGCUUCCUUUGUCACAAGACUUUCAUGCGACUUGAGAAUACCCACCAUCUUUGCCAAUGAAUAGGUCUUAAACUGCUCAUGAGCCUUCACAGUUGAUGCCACAACCAUCCAUUCGGGUCUUAAACCAUUCAGAAAUGUGAGCUUCUGUUCGAUCACUUCUCUUCCAAUACCGUGCUUAAUCAUCUUACUCAAAAGGGGGUUGAAACGAUCGAAUGCCUGGAUAAGUUUUUCAUCUGGCUUUCGUUGGAAAGCACCAAACUCAGAGAGCAAUAGAGUUUGGAUGGAAUGUUCCAAGUCCUCAUCAAUGGAAUACAGCUCUUUGAGUCUAUCCCAGAUCUCUUUUGCUGUGGUGCAUGGGCUUACCAGAUGAAAGGUAUCGGACUGCAAAGCAAGAUCUAAUCAUUCUCAUGGCUUUAACAUUACACAACAACUUUUCUUUUUCGUCUUGGGGAAUCAUCUCUACGCAAGUUAAGAGUUUGUUGUACUCUUUUUGAGUCAUCAUGGUUCUAUUUGUUCCAGAAUGAAUGGAAGGACCCAAUGUUAUUGCUUCACAGAUAAGAUAAUCGUUGUCUUCAGAACCAACGACGUAGUCUUUGAAGUGAUGCGUCCAAACUUCAUAAUCUUGUGUGUAUAGAAUCGGGAUCCUAAUUGUGGAUCCAAUGUUGUUGGAGAUAUGGAUUGGAUUGGUUUGUGAAUCUUCGAGAGACAUGAUGACCUUUUUCAGAUAUCUGCUAAGAAUCAGACUUGUAAAGAUUGAAUUAGGGUUUUAUCAAAAGCAAGAAACAACGUCAACGAAGAGAUGACGACUCCUAAUGAUUCGAUAAAAGCUGAAACCCUAAAAUUGUUCUUCCAACAGAAGAGAUGCAUAUAUAUUACACAGUCUCCUGCUCUGAUACCAAUUGAUGAGAUUAUGAUUCUCUUAGAUCGAUAGAUUCAAACAGAUAUUCAAGGAUAAUGAUAGUAACAGAAAACGAUAAAUACAAAUAUGAAUCAAACGUGUGUCGAAUGAUUAAUAUGCUCCACCUCAGAAGAAUUCAAUGUGAAUUGCUACUAUAGAGGUGUGCGAGGGUUACAAUGCAAGAUCUGUGUAAAUAAUAAUCAAGAAGCAUCUUAAAUAUAAUGCAUGCAUGCACUAUAUAUACUUAAACCCUAAAAUAAAACGCGGCUGGACAGGCCCAGACCGAGAGUACUAAUGGUCCGAACAUAAAGCCUAAUGACGCAAUCUCUUGGACUCAACAAACGGUCAACAACAUUCAAUGUCCAACCAAGCCAACAUCCACCACGAAGUGGUGACCUCUUGGCCACAUCGUGGGUAUGUCCAGACAAAACAACCAAGAAGCUGAAUACCCACCACGACAGGGUGACCUCUUGGUCACGUCGUGGUUACUGCCAUAUGCCAUUUUUUCUUUAUAAGGAAUUAAUCCAUUAAGUCCUUUGCUCCAACUUUCUAGAAGGCCUCAUUGCCCACAAAUGAUCCAUACAAAUCAUUACUUUAUGGACAUGCAUGUCCAUUGCAUUUCUCUCUUAAUACUAGGUCAAAAUGGGUAAGAAAUAGAGUCAAAGCUCCAUGCAUGGCACCAAUCAACAUGAAAUACUAAAUAUGAACCAUAUGAUGACCAAGGAACCCCAAUAAGUGAUAAAUUUGCCAACUUUAUGAAAACCAUUCAUUCAUAAUAACAUAUUAUAAAGGAACAGAGCUUAAAACCUAGAUCUACAAAAGAUGAACUAAAAAGGUGAGAACUUGGAGGCUCGCAAUAGUCCAUAGGAUGCACCAAGAGAUGGAGAUGAACUUGCUAGCUUAUCCUUAACAAAACAUAGCCUUCCUUCAACCUUCAAAUGACCAAAACACCAUCAAAGAGCUCACAAGACAAGAGGAUAGACUAGGGUUUUGAAAAGGUGGAAUAGAGGCUGAAGAAGAUGCCCUAAUCUUGGACUUAGUGGCCUUAAAUAUGGUAGAAAUCCUAAAAAUCGUGAGAUGGGGUUACAAUAUCCACCACAUCAUGACCUCCCACUUGCCACGUUGUGGUUCUCAUUAUAGCAUGCGAUCUGGAAGUUUCAUGUCACUUCGUGGUACUCGAUAUACCACAUCGUGGCAUAUGAUUCUCUCUAAAAACUAUCUUUGUCCUUUAUGAAUCUUCAAUUGAUCCAUUCUAGAAUGUAACAACCCAAUUUUCAUAAAAAAUUUAAACUUUUAAUUUCACAAUAUUAACCAUAGAAAAUACAAAGAUCCCAUUACACAUCCAUGUUAUUCUGAAAUUUUGAGUACAAAGAGCUAAUUUCGAAACACUAGAGAAUGCAUGCCUUGUCAUCAAGUCGGGCCCUUGCCCUUAUCAAUAGAAGUACCUGAAACAUUCAAAUAAACUAUAAGAACAAGCUUAGUGAGUUUCUUAAUCACAAAAGUCAUGCUUAUACAUAUACAUACAAUUUGCCAUGGACUCCCUCCACGGUCUUUCAAUGGAAUGCCAUGGGCUACCCCCAUGGUCUUAUUUCCUCAUGCCAUGGGCUCCCCCCAUGGUCUUCACAUGGACCCAUACAUAAAUCAAAUAACAUAUCAUUUCACAUUUAACUACAAAGCAUAUCAUAUAAAUUAAUGGGCCGACCUUGGUGCCUUCGACCCAUGAGUGUGGUGAGAAGACUCACCUCACCAGUAGCACUGAAUGACAAGAUCCAACUCCCAAAUCACAGCUCCGAACUCAAUUGCCUACAGUCAUCAUGUGACUUACUCCAUCAAAAUCCCGAAAUACCCAAAAUACCCUCACAUUCAAACUUGGUCAACCAUGUCCAAAGUCCAAGUCAACAGUCAAGGUCAACAGUCCAUGUUGAUCCAACUUGUAAUGCAUGUUCCAGUUAUCAUUUAAUUUAUAAGUUUUUUAGGGUUUUAUGCUAAAAUUUGAUGAGUUGGGGAGCCCAACUCGAUGAGUAGAGAUCGUUUUUGGACGCGGGACUUAGGGUCUUCUCGACGAGUUGGAAGACCCCCACUCGACGAGUAGGCAGUAUAAAGGAAAACCCUAAUUUUCAAGGGUUUGUACCAUAUUUAAGGAACUUAUGGGUCAUUUGUGGCCUCCCUCAUCGUCCUAUCUGUCCAGAGAGAAAGCCUAGCCGCGCUUUAGUGUCUUCUUGAGUGUGUGUGAGCUUUGGAGAGUGAAUCUUGUGCUUUUUGGAAGGAAACUUGAAGGUUGAAGAGAUUUAAGUGAGGGGAGGGCUUUAGAUCUGGCAUCUAUCUGGUGUUAGCAUCCAUUUGGAGGUAAAAAGUUGCUACCUUGAUCUCUAUUUGCUUAUAUCUCAUCUUAUGAAAGAAUAUGGUCACUUUUGGUGCAAAAUGGUGUCAUACUCAGAUUUGGACUUGUCAUUAGGACAUGGUUCCAGAUAUGGACACCUCUAGGUCUUCAUGGACAUAAAGUUGCUCCCUUUACCUAGUAUAGUCCCUUUUCCAUGUCCUAAGCAUUGUAAGAACCCUAGAUUUAGUGUUUUAGCCAUUGGAGGCCAUGCAUGAAUGUGCAGUUUGCAACUUUAUGUGGUAUUUCGAUCUUAAGGGACUGGAUCUAUAGUUUGGAGGUUUGGAUUCGACUAGAAGGACUGAUUAUGUUAAGGCAAGGGAAAAAUCGACGAGAUGCCUUGGUGACUCGAUGAGUUGGAGCGGGUUUUCCCGUUUUCAGUCUGUAGAGUAAACCCGGCGAGUUGAUAAGAUAACUCGACGAGUUGGAUCAGGUUUUUCUCAUUUUCGGUCUGACGAGUAACUCAACGACUUGAUGAGGCAACUCGGUGAGUUGGCUAGGGUAUUCUCUGGUUUUCUGAACACUGGAGGAACUCGACGAGUUGCUAGAUGCACUCGAUGAGUUGGGUUAACAUGGACUAUUGACCUUGAAUUUGACUAGGGUUGACCAAGUUUAACCUUAAGGUUAUUUCUGGCAUUUAUGGAUUUUCACAAGCUAGUCACAUGAUGAUUGUAGGCAAUUGAGUUGGAGCUGCACGUUGGGACUUAUCUGAACUUAUCUCAUCAGUUCAACAUCUUUGAGAGGUGAGUCUCCUCACCAUACUAAAGGGUCGAAGGCACGAAGACCGACCCAGUUUAUGAUAUGUGGUAUACUAGUUUAUGUAGUGUUAUGUAGCAUGUUAGCUGGUUAUGUGCUAGGAGGUAUGGUAGUUGUAUAUGUGGUAUACUUGUAUGGAAGACCAUGGGAGAGCCCAUGACACUUGGAUGUAAGGCCAUGUGGAGUGCCCAUGGAUUUCCUAUUAAAGACCAUGGGGGAUCCCAUGACACUUAGAUGUAAGACCAUGUGCAGAGCCCAUGACUUUCCUAUUAAAGAUCAUGGGCUCCGCCCAUGGCACUUAGGUGUAAGACCACAUGAGGUGCCCAUGGCAUCCUGGAGUAAAACCCUGGGGGAACCCACGACAUCCCUAUAUGUUGUAUGCUUGGCUUAUGUGGUUGAUGUAGCUUCUAUAGCUAAUACGAUAUAUGUGAUUAUGUGGACUGUGUGUGGUAUGCUCUGGGGAACUCACUAAGCAUUAGCUUACAGUUUGUUGAUUUGUUUCAGGUACAUCUAAGCCAAGGGGAAGGAUAAGGCUUGAUGGCGUGGCAUGCACUCUUCGAUAUUUGUUUUGAGGGGACAUUCUGAUAUUUGAAAUAAAAUGUUGAUGUUAUGGAUUUUGAAAACAAUUGUCAUUGAUAUUUCAUAUUUCAUGGGAAUGUUUUCGUUAAUUAAAAAUGAAAAUUUUAUUUGAAAAUUUGUGUCAGGACUCAAAACUAAGGAAAUGGUAAAAUUGUUUUCAAAAAUCAAAAGUUAAAAAAUUCUUAAAUGGAAAAAGAGGAAAGUGCAAGGUGCGUGAUCAUUCGAGCUCAAGUAAGUGGUUCCCUAAUAUGUUAGCCAUGUGGUACUGAUAAUUGGAUUAUGAUAGUCGGAUGGAUAUUGCUAUGUGUAUGCUUUUAAAAUUGUAUAUGGUUAGGAGCUUAUAACCUUAGAAUGAUUGAUUUUGCCUUAUUUCCUGUUCCUUGUCUGGUUGUGGUUCUAGGGUAGAAUCUAUUAUUCGAAAGUAUAUUUGAUCCUGUUCUGUGUAUAAUUUGCAUGAAUAAAGGCAACCUGUUAUGAUGAAGUUCUGGUUUGUUAUGGAUGGAGCAAAUCUUAGGAUAGCCUAGGAUUUGAGUUAUGCGGUAGCCUGGGAGAUAUGUUUUGUUUUGGGACGAAUUAGAGUCAUCAGGUAGAGCCUUGCGGAAGGUACAAGUAGGUUUGGAAUGUAGUAUUGGACCCAUACUACUAAAAGCACAAGACAUGUACCCGAACCAAUGUUAGAUCUAGAGGCUCUAAGGAGAGCCGGUGUGGGAGGAUCCCCUUUUUGUACAUCCUGAUCAUUAUGUUUUAUGAUAUUGCAGUUCAGUAUGGUGGUGACACAAUUUGGAGCAGAGGGAUCCGGAUUAGGAUCCAGAUUUGGUUCUGGCGACGGUACCGAGCCCAUUGAUGAGAGGUUGCGCGAGCUCAUUGCAAUCGAGGUUACGAGGGGAAUCCUUGACGCUACCCCAGUGAUUUUUGGGACAGUGAAGGAAGGGAUGAUGGAGAUUUUUGAGGAGAGGCUCAGGUCAUUCAGAGCUGAGAUUGCUGCGGGCCAUAUCGGGGCCCGAACUCCCUUGUUCCGGGAGUUCAAGGCAUAUGGGGCGCCAUAGUUUUUAUGGCCAGGGACCCCAUAGUUAGCCAACUCUUGGAAGCGGACAUGUAGAACACCCAGUGCACGAGUUCCUACCUUGAUGUGGAAAAUAUGAGUUUUGUUUCAUGUAUGUUGAGGGAUCGAGCCUGAGAUUGGUGGGGAGAGGUGACUAGCCAGGUGGGAGCAGCCGGUAUGGCUGAGAUGAUGUGGUCAGAGUUUGUUAGGCGAUUCAAUUUGAAGUUUGCACCACCUAUUAAGGUGCAACGGCUAGUGAGGGAGUUUCAUGAGCUCUAAUAGACCACCGAGACUGUGGCGGAGAUCACCGCCAAGUUUCGGGAACGAGCACUAUCGAUCCCACAAUAUACUAUAGAUGAGGAUAUGAGGAGGACGAGGUAUCAUUCCAUACUGAGGGAUGAUAUCCCAGAGUUUGUAAGUUUUACAGGGUGCAAAAACUUGAAUGAGAUGGUGGAGA